AGAAAUAUUAGUUUAGUUAGGAAGGGCCUUACCACCAUUUCUCUUGGGCACUCUUCAUACAACAUGCUUAGUUGUAAUAAGGAGGGGGAGGAGGUGAAGGAUAUUGGUGGUAAACAUGUGGAGGUGGUGGGGAUUUGUAUUUGUAGCCAUGAGGUGGGGGUGGUGACUUGUAAUGGUAUGGAGGUGGUGACUUAUGGUGGUGAUAAUGAGGUGGAGGUGGUGAGUUAUACUUGUAAAUAGUUGGAGGAGGUGGUGAGUUGUAGUGGCAAGGAUGAGAUGGUGGUGGUGGUGACUUGUAAUGGUAGGGGUGAUGAUGAUGGUGGUGGUGAGGAGGUGGUGGUGACUUGUGGUGGUAAAGAGGUGGUGGUGGUGGUGAUUUGUGUAUGUAAGUAGGAGGUGGUGGAGGUGGUGAAUUGUAAUGGUAGGGGGGGAGUUGAUGGUAAGGUGGUGGUGGUGGUGAUUUAUACUUAUAAAGAGGAGGAGGUGGAGGUGGUGACUUGUAAUAGUAGGGUGGAAGUUGAUGUUGAGGAGGUGGUGGUGAUUUAUACUUAUAAAGAGGAGGAGGAGGUGGUGGUGGUGACUUAUAAUGGUAGGGUGGAAGUUGAUGGUAAGGAGGUGGUGGUGAUGACUCAUGGUAGUGAAGAGGAGGUGGUGGUGGUGAUUUAUACUUGUAAAUAGGAGGUGGAGGUGGUGACUUGUAAUGGUAGGGGGGGAAUUGAUGGUGAGAAGGGGGUGGAGGUGACUUGUAGUGGUAAAGUGGUGGAGGUGGUGACUUGUAGAGGUAAUGGUGAUGAGGGUGGUGGUGCUCCUUGGGUGGUACUAGUAAUGGUGGUGGGGAAGGAGAGUAGAGGUAGUUUCCUUGUACCUUGAGAGGUAAACUCAGAGAGAGAAACACUAGCAAGAGAGUGAGAAGUAGGGAGGCCAUGGCCUCCCCCUUUUCCCCUCCUCUCCCUCCCAACAUUCUCACUAGUUUUGUUGCCUUGGUGGGUUGCUCUUCUCCUUGGAUUCUUUGGGCUUCUUUAUAUAGCCACAUUUUUCACCCUUGGUGCUAGAGAGUUCCAUGGGUAAUUAACUUGGUGUUUAAUUAACUUGGUGUUUAAUUAGCAAUGGUAGAAACCAUGAAAUUUAAACAAUUGCUUUGUAGUUUUUUGUAGUUUUUUUAUCCAACAAUGCUACUCAUACACUUCAAUCGUGAGUAUAUCUUACAUUCUAUUCAUCCAAUAAGUAUAAUAGUUUCAUUAAUCACAUUAAGUGGCUAGUAAAUGAUUCCGAUCUAUUAGAUCGAUAGGGUAUAAGAUGUACACUAAAUUGGAGUGUACAAGUAGCUUUUUCCUUUUUUUAUCUGCAAACAUGUAAAAGACCCCAUCAACUAUAGGCUAUUCUAAAACAGUCCCAUUAACUGUUUUUUUUUUUUGUUGAGACCCCUUAACUUCUAAUUUUAUCUACUAAAAGAUAAUUAACGUUAUUAAUUUGGUAAAAUUCCUAAUGAAUUUAAGAAAAUCUCUAAAAUUGCUUUUAUUAAAACCACUUAACUCUAAAAAAUUAGAAGUUAAAGGAGAUCUCAUUCAAAAAAGAAAAAAAGUUGAGGGCUAUUUUAGAAUAGUCUAUAGUUGAGGGAGUCUCUGUACAGCCACCCUUAGCCUCUCCAUUGCGUGCAUUAACUUGUUUUAUCAUUUUUUUUAAAACAUAAAAUUCAAAAGGGUUUGUCAAAUCUUUUGAUUCUUGGGUAUAAAAUAUACACCCUACACACUUAGCAUUUUUCUUAUUUUUACUUACUAUUGGUAAAUUGCAUUUCUAAUCAUGAAACUUUUAGCUAGAUUUUAUUUCGAUCUUUAAAUUUUUUAUUUUGAUGGUAGAGUGCGUAAAUUUUUUGAAAAAAUAGUCAUUUUACAUAUUCAUUACAAUCGUGUAUCUGUCCAUUCAUGUACUACCCAUUUGUUGAUCAUUUGUCCCAUCAUUUACGAGUAAUUAAUAAUUAAUUUUCUAUUGAAAAUUUGGACUGUUAAAUUAGAAAUAUUACUUAGAAUAUAAAGGACCUAUAGAAUUUGUAGUGCACGAUCAUAAAGCAAACUCGAUGCAAGUAAUGAUUUUGUUCCAAGGUGGGAACUAUAAUGAGACACUAUUCGAAUCUCAGGGACGAAAAUAAAAUCUUAAGUAAGAGUUUAGGUUCUAAUCAAACGUUUGAGGACCGAAAUGAAUCUUGAGUUAAAGUUCAGGGACUAGCAUAGCAAUUCACUCUUUUACAAACUAAACGUGCUUUGACCGGUCAACUGAUUGCUUAAGAGGGCGGAAAACGUGCCACAAUUGGCUAAUUUAGACACGUCAGCAUCAUGACACAGUUUUUUUUUUUUUUUACUAUUUUCUACAUCAAAGUUUUUUUUAUUAUUUUUUUAACUUUUGCUCGUAGAUUACAACUCAUUACGUACGGUACUGGAGUACUGCUUUUAUAUGUAGGUUUUUCUUUUUUUUUUUUAUCUGCAAAAAAUAAAGAUACAUCAUAUAUGGCACAAUACUUUUUUAGUUUUUUAAACCAAGAGUUAAUUGCACGGUUGGACCUAACCUUUAUCUAUUUUCCCACUUUGGUCCUUAAAUAUAUUUUUCGCUAUUCGAUUCUCCGUCUUUAUAUUUUAUCAUAACCAUUUAGAUUCAUAUUAAUUUUGAUGGAAGAUCUCAUCAACUCUAAUAAAGUCUUAUGUUCUGAUAUGAAUCGCAGUUAUAAUCUGAUAGUUUCCAGUAAUAAAUCUCCACAUUAUAUAUUUCAAGUUUUCUAAAAGGUUUGCUGGUGUGUACGUGUAGCUCAAUGCCAAGAAUGUCAAACACUCCAAAAAAAGUAGCAGUACGACAUUAAGGUGGCGAGAUUAGGCCUGACGCAAUAUGCGCACAUAAGAGAAAUGUUAACAAUAUAACAAUAAUAUUUUCUAAUAGUUUAAGAUUUUAGAUAACAUAGUUCUUUCGUAUAGUGCAACAUGACAUCAGAAUAUGAGAUUCUGAGUUCGAAAAUAGUCAGGCUAUUCCAUACAAUUUAAUAAGAAGAGAUUGGCAAAUAUUAGGAAUCAAUUGCAAAAAAUAAAAAUUGAGAAUUAAAAUGAGAGAAUCAAGAGAAGGCUACAGACUAAUAAUGCAAUUUACCCUUAAAGAAAGAGAAAUACUAAGCUUACAAUCCAAAGAAAUCGAAAUCUCUACAAUCUUUAUUCGAAGAAGUGUAGCCCUAGCCUUAAAAAAGAAUUGUAGCCCUAGCACUCCUUAAAAAAGAAUUGUAGCCCUAGCACUCCUUAAAAAAGAAUGUCUUUGGCCUAGAUGAUACAAUUAAUAUUUAUCAGCAUUUUCUAUAUAGAUGGAUUUGAUAUUAAUACAUAGAGUCUGUUUUAUUAUUACUACAUUACUUUCAAAUUUUAUAUCUAGUAAUUAAAUAAAAGAUCAUUUUUUUUUCUAAACAUUACUGCACAUGAAUAUAAUUUGGGAAACUUCAAUUUGUCGCUAUGUAGUUGAGUUCAUUUUUAUUUUAUCACUUUAUAGUUCAAAAAAUUAUACUUAAUUAUUCUGUGAUUAUCAAAAAAAAAUUCACUUUACUAUUCUAUUUGAUAAUAAAUUUCUUAGUUAAAAAUAGAGAUAAAAGCAUAAGAUAGUUUGGUGCAUUUUUUGAGUUGCAUGGUUCAAAGUAAAAAUAAAUUAAAUCAUGGGAAUUUUCUAUAUAAUUUUUAAGGAAGACUUUUAUCCAUACAUUCAAAAAUAUAUAAAAAUCUUAGGCUCCGACAUCUAAAGGCUCAAAAUGGACUCCUGUCUUGUCAGAUUAUUUUUGUGCUAAAAAUUUAUUUUUUUAAAUAAAAAAUCUACUAAUUUUGGGCUUUUAUAAAAGUGGGCUAUCAUUUUCCUUUUUGCAGAUUCGGUCCGAUUUGUUAGCAAACUGACCAAAAUACCCUUAUACCUUUUUCUCUCUCCUCUUUUCUGUUCUCUCGUUCUUUUUUUGUUUCUCUUCCCAGAGAGCGGUGGAGGCGGAGGCCUCUCCUUCUCCGCGGCGCCCGCCUUCCUCAUCGCCUCCUCCGACGAACCCACCUCCUCCUUCCGCCGCCUCCCCUUCUCCCAUGACGACACCCCCUCUGCUGGCCGCCGCCGCCACCUCUCCUCCUCCCAUGACGACACUCCCAUGACUCCAGCCGCCGCUUCUCCGGCACCGGCGCCCCGCACCCCUCCCCCCUCCGCCCUCCUCGCCUCUGACCCUGCUGAGGCCGCGUCGCCACCUUCUUCUCCAUUAGGGCACGGCGACGUCGAAACGCAGGCUCUUUUCCUUCACCGUGCGUCGGAACGCUGAGACGUCGUCGAAGGCGGCGAAAUCGCCUUCGACGAUGUCGCGAUGGUUGCGAUAGAAAGUAAGGGAGAUGUGGUAACAAAAAAAAAUUGUAGAAAAAAUAAGAAUAAUAAAAAAUAAAAAUAAUAUUUUUUUUCAACUGAAAAGAUCAAAAAAUAUAGGAGAAAAAAGAAACUGAUGAAAUUGCACUCUUAACAAAAAAUUACGCUAUUUUAAAAAAAAUUUACACUGUUUUAAUAAAAAUUACACUAUUUCAUAUAAAAAAUACACUCUUUUAAAAUAGACUUUACACUCUUUAGGUCAAUAUUGCACCAUUUAGAAAAAUUUUGCACUAUUUCAUUUCUUUCUAUUUUUUUUUCCUCUUUCUCUUCUUCUUCUUCCUCUUGCGGGAGUAGCACCCACCCUUCUUCUUUUUCUUCCUGCAGGAGCAGCACCCACCCUGCAGGAGCACCUCCCCCGCCGCCGCCGCCGCCGAAGAGGCCGCUGCGGCAACGCGGCGCAUGAGCGCGGCCACUGCCCCAGCCGCAAUCGCGCGUGCGCGGUUCUCCUUCGCCAGGCACAGCGCGAACAGCCCCCGCACCGUGCUCAACCUGGGCCGGUUGAUGGCCGCGCUCGAGGGCACUGAGGCCGCUUACUGCACCACCUCCGGCAUGUUCGCCAUCGUCGCCGUCCUGCUCCAGCUCGUUGGCGCCGGUGGCCACGUCGUCGCCUCCAAGUGCCUCUACGGUGGCACCCACACCCUCCUUUCCCUCUUCCUCCCCUGCGCCUGCGGCAUCCGCGCCACCUUCGUCAACGCCGACGACACCCACGCCGUCCGCGCCGCCAUCCACGAGAGGGGGACCAAGAUCAUCAAUUUUCAUUUUCUAUAUAUAUAUAUAUAUAUAUAUAUAUAUAUAUAUAUAUAUUAUCGGUAGUAAACUGCUCAGUUUACUACUGAUUUGUUUUUGAUGAGAAGGGGUUGAAGCUGGUGGUGGACAACACCUUCAUGCCCAUGGUGGUCUCCCCCGCGCGACUCGGCGCCGACGUCGUCGUACAGAGCGUCUCCAAGUUCAUCAGCGGCGGCGCCGACAUCAUCGCCGGUAACUAACCAACUUAUCCUUUUCUUUCCUUUUCCUUCUUAUUUUUUGGGCGGCGCCGCGCUCAUGCGCCGAGUCGCCACCGCGGCCUCCUCGGCGGCGGCGGGGGUGGGGGAGGUGCUCCUGUAGGGUGGGUGCUGCUCCUGCAGGAAGAAGAAGAAGAAGGGUCGGUGCUGCUCCCGAGGGAGGAAGAAGAAGAAGAGAAAGAGGAAAAAAAAAAGAAAGAAAUGAAAUAGUGCAAAAUUUUUCUAAAUGGUGCAAUAUUGACCUAAAGAGUGUAAAGUCUAUUUUACAAGAGUGUAAUUUUUAUAUGAAAUAGUGCAAUUUUCAUUAAAAUAGUGCAAUUUUUUUUUAAAACAGUGUAAUUUUUUUAAGAGUGAAAUUUGCACCACCUCGCCCAAAAUUGCACCACUUCGCCCAAAAUUGCACCAUUUCUCCUUCUCAUCCUCUUCCUCUUCCUUCUUCUUUUUUACACCAUUACACCAUUACACAAUAACAAUAAAAAUCUCCUAAAAACCGAGGCGGCAGGGACGUAGGAGCUCGCCGACGACGAUGCCGAUGCCGUGGACGUCGUCGUUGACGGUGGAGGAGAGGGCGGAGACGGAGGGGCAGGGGGUUCGGUGGGGCGGCAGGAGGGGUAGAGCGCGGAGGAGAGGGCGAAGGCGGAGGGGUGAGGGUUGCGGGGCGCCGGGGCCGGAGAAGCGGCGACCGGAGUCGUAGGAGUGUCGUCGUGGGAGAAGGAGAGGCGGCGGAAGGAAGGGGUGGAUUCCUCAGAGGAGGCGAUGAGGAGGGCGGGUGCAGCAGAGAAGGAGAGGCCUCUGCCUCCGCCUCUGUCUCCGCCGCUCUCUGGGAAGAGAAAGAAAAAAAAAACGAGAGAAAAAAAAAGAAGAGAGAAAAAGGUAUAAGGAUAUUUUGGUCAGUUUGCUGAAAAAUCGGACUGAAUCUGUAAAAACAAAAAAGGUGGCCUACUUUUGCAAAAGUCCAAAAUUAGUGGAUUUUUUAUGCAAAUUGGCCAAAAAAAUUUAGAAUAAGAGAGUAUAUAAUUUACGUACUCCUUUAUAAAAUAUAGUAAUAUUUAUAUCUGACAAUCUCGAUCCAUACUCAUGGGUGUCUGCGGGUUAUCCAUAAGUUUACUGAUAUGGAUACCAGCUUUUUCAACCCAAAAAAUUACCGAGAAAACGGAUGGGUAUCUAUUAAGCUGUGGGUAUUUUGGGUAACCUGCGAAUAUCCACAGAUAUCCACACAUAUAUUUUUUAAUUACAAAUAUAUUUUCUUAAUAAUGAGUUAUGUUACAUUUUUAAUAUAUAUAUAUAUAUAUAUAUAUAUAGAGAGAGAGAGAGAGAGAGAGCUAGGCUGGUAUACUAUCGGUAGCACGGAGCCCUCCGUGUUACCAAGUUGUUUUCAAUGAUGCGGCUUUCAAAUCGACGAUCAGCUCUGUUAGACUUGAUCUACAUUAUUAAAAGCAUUUGAAAACUAAAUUUCAUAAUUUUUUGAUAACAUUUGACUAGUGAUCAAAAGGUUUUAAAAUUGACAAUUUUAAUGGUAGAUGUGAUGUGUUUGUAAAUUUAACGGUGUAAAACAAUCCAAAUCUGAUGAAAUCUUUAUAGAAAAUUUUUUUUACUAUUUAAAGUAAGAUUAUCACCUCUGAUAUUAAAUUCAAGUCUUUUAUCAUCAUUUUUNCUUUCUAUUUUUUUUCCUCUUUCUCUUCUUCUUCUUUUUCCUGUGGGAGUAGCACCUACCCUUCUUCUUCUUCUUCCUGCAGGAGUAGCACCCACCCUGUAGGAGCACCUCCCCCGCCGCCGCCACCGCCGAAGAGGCCACGGCGGCCACGCGGCACAUGAGCGCGGCCGCCGCCCCAGCCGCGAUCGCGCGCGCGCGGUUCUCCUUCGCCAAGCACAGCGCGAACAGCCCCCGCACCGUGCUCAACCUGGGCCGGCUGAUGGCCGCGCUCGAGAGCACCGAGGCCGCUUACUGCACCGCCUCCGGCAUGUUCGCCAUCGCUGCCGUCCUGCUCCAGCUCGUUGGCGCCGGCGGCCACGUCGUCGCCUCCAAGUGCCUCUACGGCGGCACCUACACCCUCCUCUCCCACUUCCUCCCCUGCGCCUGCGGCAUCCGCGCCACCUUCGUCAACGCCGACGACACCCAUGCCGUCCGCGCCGCCGUCCACGAGGGGGACACCAAGGUUAUCAAUUUUCAUUAUAUAUAUAUAUAUAUAUAUGAGCAUUGUAUAUUGUUAAUUGUAUCAUUUUCUCUUAUAGUUUAAGCUUGUGAAAAUUAAUUAAGGGUUGUUUUAUAUAUAUUCGAAAGGUGAUCUAUGUGGAGACGAUGGCGAACCCCACACUGGCGGUGGCGGACGUGCCGCGGCUGGCGGCGAUCGCGACUCGCGAGGGAGAAGGGGGUGAAGCUGGUGGUGGACAACACCUUCACGCCCAUGGUGGUCUCCCCCGCGCGACUCGGCGCCGACGUCGUCGUACACCGCGUCUCCAAGUUCAUCAGCGGCGGCGCUGACAUCAUCGCCGGUAACUAACCAACUUAUCCUUUUCUUUCCUUUUCCUUCUUAUUUUUUGGGCGGCGCCGCGCUCAUGCGCCGAGUCGCCACCGCGGCCUCCUCGGCGGCGGCGGGGGUGGGGGAGGUGCUCCUGUAGGGUGGGUGCUGCUCCUGCAGGAAGAAGAAGAAAAAAGGGGGUGCUGCUCCCGCAGGAGGAGGAAGAAGAAGAAGAAGAAGAAGAGAGAGGAAAAAAGAAAGAAAGAAAUGAAAUAGUGCAAAAUUUUUCUAAAUGGUGCAAUAUUGACCUAAAGAGUGUAAAGUCUAUUUUACAAGAGUGUAAUUUUUAUAUGAAAUAGUGCAAUUUUCAUUAAAACAGUGCAAAUUUUUUUAAAACAGUGUAAUUUUUUUUAAGAGUGAAAUUUGCACCACCUCGCCCAAAAUUGCACCACUUCGCCCAAAAUUGCACCAUUUCUCCUUCUCAUCCUCUUCCUCUUCUUUCUUCUUUUUUACACCAUUACACCAUUACACCAUAACAACAAAAAUCUCCUAAAAACCGAGGCGGCAGGGACGUAGGAGCUCGCCGACGACGAUGCCGAUGCCGUGGACGUCGUCGUUGACGGUGGAGGAGAGGGCGGAGACGGAGGGGCAGGGGGUUCGGUGGGGCGGCAGGAGGGGUAGAGCACGGAGGAGAGGGCGGAGGCGGAGAGGUGAGGGGUGCGGGGCGCCGAGGCCGGAGAAGCGGCUGCCGGAGUCGUGGGAGUGUCGUUGUGGGAGAAGGAGAGGCGGCGGAAGGAUGAGGUGGAUUCCUUAGAUGAGGCGAUGAGGAGGGCGGGCGCAGCGGAGAAGGAGAGGCCUCUGCCUCCGCCUCUGUCUCCACCGCUCUCUGGGAAGAAAAAGAAAAAAAGAAUGAGAGAAAAAAAAAAAGGAGAGAGAAAAAGGUAUUAGGGUAUUUUGGUCAGUUUGCUGAAAAAUCGGACCGAAUUUGCAAAAACGAAAAAGGUGGCCCACUUUUGCAAAAGUCCAAAAUUAGUAGAUUUUUUAUGCAAAUUGGCCAAAAAAAUUUAGAAUGAGAGAGUAUAUAAUUUACAUACUCCUUUAUAAAAUAUAGUAAUAUUUAUAUCUUGACAAUCUCGAUCCAUACUCAUGGGUGUCCGCAGGUUAUCCAUAAGUUUACUGAUAUGGAUACCAGCUUUUUCAACCCAAAAAAUUACCGAGAAAACGGAUAGGUAUCUAUUAAGCUGUGGGUAUUUUGGGUAACCUGCGAAUAUCCAUAGAUAUCCACACAUAUAUUUUUUAAUUACAAAUAUAUUUUCUUAAUUAAUAUUUUUUUUUAUUUAUCCAUCAUAAAAAUUCUAAUCCUAAUUUCUCAUUGCGUGUCUUUUAUAUUAUGAAAUAUUUUUACUUUAAGACUUUAAAUAUUUUUAUUGUAUGUUAUGAUAUUUUAAAUAAUAAAUUAUAUUACACUUUUAAAAUUUAUAUAUUUGUGUUUUGCAUUUAAAAAAUAUAAGAGCAAAAAAUAAAAUAAAAAUUAUGGGUAACCCGCAUACCCAGNUAUAUAUAUAUAUAUAUAUAUAUAUAGAGAGAGAGAGAGAGAGAGAGCUAGGCUGGUAUACUAUCGGUAGCACGGAGCCCUCCGUGUUACCAAGUUGUUUUCAAUGAUGCGGCUUUCAAAUCGACGAUCAGCUCUGUUAGACUUGAUCUACAUUAUUAAAAGCAUUUGAAAACUAAAUUUCAUAAUUUUUUGAUAACAUUUGACUAGUGAUCAAAAGGUUUUAAAAUUGACAAUUUUAAUGGUAGAUGUGAUGUGUUUGUAAAUUUAACGGUGUAAAACAAUCCAAAUCUGAUGAAAUCUUUAUAGAAAAUUUUUUUUACUAUUUAAAGUAAGAUUAUCACCUCUGAUAUUAAAUUCAAGUCUUUUAUCAUCAUUUUUUAUGAGAUUUUUUUUUUCAGCCGUUCAUUUUUAGAUUACUUGUUUGAUAGGUAAAUGAUGUCGAAAAAUUAUGAAAUUUGGUUUUCAAAUACUUUUAAUAGUGUAGAUUAAGUUUAACGGAAUCGAUCGUUAAUUUGGAAGUCGCAUCAUUGAAAACAAUUUGGUAGCACGGAGGGUUCCGUGCUACCGAUAGUUUACCAGCCUAACUCUCUCUCUCUAUAUAUAUAUAUAUAUAUAUAUAUAGUGUGUGUGUGUGUUUUAAAUUAAAAAAUAUAAAAUUUUAAAAAAAAAUUAUGAGUAACCUGCAGAUACAAUGAUCCGUCCGCAAGCUAUCCAACUCGUCGAUUUGUCAAAUCUAAUAAUAUUUUCUAUUUGUAAGUGGCAGUGAAAUAUUGGAAUGUUGGCUUCUCAAAGUUGCGGGACUUGUGCUGCAAUUUAGCCACUUUCUUUUCUUUUCUUUUUUUUAAAUUUCCUUUUAAUCAUUGCAUGCAAGCACAAGAUUGAUGACGUACGCGACAAAGCUCUGGUGCUUCUUUUCUUUACUCAAAAGAUCACGUGGCCCACUUUUAUUUAUUUAUUUAUUUAUUUUUUAAUAAGAUUAUCACCCUCUAUCCUUAUCACUGUACGAUGAGACUCGGGCGCCUCUCAAGCUGAUCGACGAACACACAAUGGAGUCAAAAAGAUAAAAGACCAAAGUAUGAAACUUAUUAAAAGAAAAAGUAAAAGAAAAAGAAAAAAAUGUAUAAAGAGGCCCCUCUCGAUUAUAAAGAGUUGCCAAAUUAGUAUUUGACUCAAAUCCAAGUCUUAUUAAGAACAAGCACACACAAGAAAAAAAAAAAAACUUGAAGAAAAUCGCGCGACAUGCUCGACCGUAUUUUCGAUCUCGUCGCAAGAAAAUUUGUCAAACUUCGGCAUCUUCCAAUUUGCCAGAUAUGAGUGUUCUCUGUCUAUAUUCGCAAGGUAAGGUGAUCUAAAUACAGGCCGCAUUGCCGGCCUUGUAUCUACUCCGAAGGUGUUCCGGAUGGCUUCCUCUAUUUGCAUAUAAAUCUCAUUAUUAAUCCCUUGUAAAGGAGCUUGCGCUGGUGCUAGGUUCGGUGGUUGUGGCACACUAAGAUUUUGUACCAAGGGAUUAACCCCUUAUGCAUUUGGAGCCUGCCCCCUAACCCCUACAAUUUGAGGCUGGUAUACUGCUACUGGUGGAGGAGGUGGUAACCCCCACGCUAUCUCCGGUUGUUGACCGACAUUAACGACAGCCGGUCUAUAAGCCGCUUGAUAUGGUGCCCCCUGGUAUUGGGGCUGACCAUUUACCGAUGUAACAGGAUUUUGUAACAUCGGUGCCAUCAGAGGCGUUUGUAAGCCUAAUGUUGGUUGAUCAUUCCGAGUCAACAAUUGCCCUUUUCGAGCUAUGUUCUCGUUAGAGGCCGUGAUUGCGGCCAAUAUGGCAUCUAGCCGUGCAGUACUCGCAUGACUAUUUUGAUCCAAAACUUGCAGGACCCGCGUCAUUUGUCCAAGCGCCAGACUAGGCUCCUGUUGGCCAGAUUGACCACUAGUCUCACCCUCGGCAGGUAAAAUCGCUUGGCGCUCUACGACAUUCUCCGAAUUACUGGACUGUUCGCUCCCAGAAUUUCUAGGAACGGCCAUGUUACGGAGAUUCAUGGCAUUCUCAUCAGCCAUAAUUUGUAUAAAAUGUAAAUUUACCUAAAAAGUUGAGUCCCAUCGGGCGUGCCAAAAAAUUGUUGCGUGCCGAUCGUCCCGACCCUUGACCUAGUCAAAGAUCUUCCUCAAAAAGCGCGUCGGGGUUGAAACGGCUCCGAAAGAUGACCCUCGAAGUGUGCGCCCUUUUACUGAACAAGGGAUUCGGCUGAUGAGGGAUCUAAUUAGCAGGGUCCGAAAACUCUAUUCUCUCUUUGGUUCGGUCGGAUGAGCCGAAUGGGAAGCCGGAAACUCGACCAGGAGAUGAGCCGAACGGCUAACACAACACAAGAUCUGGCCGGCCUAAAGAGCCGAAAAUGACUUUCUAUUGAAUGAACCAGUAGAGAGUACAGGAAGAAGGGUUUUACUUUACAACGGAGUGAUGCCCAGGGGGCAGACAGACUCCAGGAUUCUAAAUUACCAAGCUACUCCUAGAAAAAGCGAUAAAUGUAGGAAGGAAAGAUGCGAUAAAAUAAGGGUGGUCUUUUGUUCGCAGGGGAAAAAAACCCUUUUUCAGGGUGUUAUGAACCUAUUUAUAGAGUCGCCCUUGAGUUGGUUAUAGCCCUUGCACGAUCAGCCAUUAUUUCCUGUUAUUUUGGACCACCUUCGACCGAUCAGAACCGUCUAUAAUUGCUUGCGGUUGCUAUAACUCCCUCGAUUUUGGUGCGGUUCGUGUUCCUUCUGGUGCCCCUAAUGUACUCUCGGUGCACCGCUGAGACCGCUGUACUGGUAUAGACUCGGCGUGCCAGCUGUUCGCGCCGAAUUAGCUCAACAGUUAUAUUUAAUUAUCAAAAUUCAAAGAAUUUUUUUUAUAUAUCUUAAAGUCUUAUAGAAUUAUGGGUACGACAUCAGAUCAAAAUCCUGUGUAUAUAAUAAGUAAAUUCACUUGAGUAGAGAUGUGAAUAGAGAAGCACAGUGCACUAUUUGUUAAAGUUAAGGAGACGUGAUUGUCAAAGUUGAAAGUUGAGAUGCCUAUUUGCAAAAAAAGUUAAAAGUUUAUGAUGUGUUUGUACAUUUUUUUAAAAAAAUAAAAUCUCUCUAAAACUAAACAGAAGAAGAUGAAGCUGACUAUCCUAGAAUAGAAGAAAACAAUAGGGAGACAAUAUAUAGAUCAGUCCCUCGACUCUAUCCACCACCUAACAAGUAAAUCAAACGCAUAAACCUUAAUGCCUAUAACUAAAGAAACUAAGCAUAGAGAAAAUUACAGGCAAAAGCAAUCAACCAGAUCUCGAUCUUGCUCAAACUCCCGACUUCAAACUGCAUAUCAAAAACUUCUCCACUUCCAGAUACUCCAAAUUUUUUAGUUUGAAAGAUGUUCUUAAAAGUUAUGACGUCGAGCGAAAAAUUCAGAAGAAAGAAAAGUCCUGAGUAGAAAAAGAGAAGAGCAAGAAAGAGACUAAAAAACUAGAAAAUUAUAGAGAAAAAAAUUGAAAAACAACUAAUAAUAUAAAAAACUAUAGAAAAGAAAAGAAUACAAUUCGAAUUUAAUCAAAUUUGAGUGGGAGUGCUGACCAAAUCCAGCCAAAGGGCUGGAGAGUGGACAUAAUAAUUGUGAAAUAGUGGUAUUAAUAGUAGCAUUUAUUUUGAUAUAAGAACCUCGAUGAACUUGAUCGUAAGUCAUAAAUUCAGUUGACUUCUUUCGUUCUCCACUUUUAAUAAAAAUUAUUAAAAUAUUAUCUAUCUUAAUUAGUAAUUUAAUUAAAAUUUAUCUAUGUUUAGAUUAGAUAGUUGUGGUGAAAUAAAAACUAAUAGGGCUGAAAAAUUACUUACGUACUUAGCUAAAUUUUAACAAAACAAACAGCAGAAAUAAAGGUAACUUACUUUCAAGUAAGUUACUUGCAUCAAAAUAAGCAACUAAUAAAAGAAAAGUUGGCUUAUGAGAAACUUGAACUUCAUUAUAUUUGAAUUUUCCUAGUAUUCGAGUUUGUGGAAAGAUGAACACAAUCGGUAGGUUUUGGAGGCUUACACAAAGAGAAUUUAAUACUUGUUUAGCCUCAUAUGGGCAUAUCCACUCCAAGCAAGAUAAUUGGGCACUAAAAUUCAAUAAUCUUCCUUUAGAGGAAAAGAUUUUUUUUUUCUAUUUUUUUUUACAAUUAGAGGAAAAGAUUUUUCACAUUUGCUGCAAUUUGUAUAAAAAUUCAUCUCAAUUGAUAGAUGCAGAUUCACAGAAAAUCUAAUGCUUCGAAAAUUCUCAUACAUUGGACGAGUAUCUUAUCUAUCUCAAGUAAUAGUUGUGAUUAGAAAAAUAACAUAACAAACGGUAAAAAUAUAUAGAACUCAUUUGAACCACAGAUUAUUCUGUCUUUCAAAAUUUUAUUUUUACUAUUCAAUAUUUGAAUUUGUGAAAUCUGAAUUAAUCAAUAAUAUUUUAAUUUUAAAAUUUAAAUACAUUAUUUGUUUUUAUAAAUUUAAUUAGUAUAUUAUAUCAAAAUUUUGCAACUAUAGAUUUAUGAAUUCAUUAACACGAUCCUUGUUCAGCCACCGUUAAUUCCACAAUCCAAUCAUCAUCCUCCUCACUCACCCUUGCCAAAUGAUCCAAUACACCGCCCAUAACACCAAACACCGGAUCCGACCAAUCCCCUCCUGCCACGAACUCCCUGACCUCGUCGCCCACCUCGAUCGCGCUGCACCCGGGGACGCGCUUCCCCACGCCCCGGCGCCGCAUCUCCCGCCGCGUGCGCGCCACGUCAUCCCACCUCCGCGCCGCCGCGUACGUGUUCGACAAAAUUACGUAAUUGCCCCCGUCCCCGGGCUCCAGCUCCACCAGCCGCUCGAUCGCCGUCACCGCCGCUGGGAUGUCGCCACGCGUCCUGCACGCGCUCAGCAGCGCGCCCCACACGCGCGCGUCGGGUCUCACGGGCAUUUCGUCGAUCACCUUCCGCGCGUGCUCGAUCCUCCCCAACCUGCCGAGGAUGUCCACCAAACACCCGUAGUGCUCCACGCCGGGAAUUAUAUCGUACUUGCUCUGCAUCGCGUCGAAGAAUCCGAGGGCUUCGUCGAGCAUCCCCGCGUGCGAGCAGGCGCACAGAAGCGCGAGGAAGGUGACCGCGUUGGGCCGCGCGGACCCCUCCCGCUCCAUCUCCGCGAACAUCGCGAUCGCGCCGCGGGCCCUGCCGUGCGCGGCGAGCCCCGCGAUCAUGGCGCUCCACGUGACCACGUCUCUCUGGGGCGUUUCGUCGAACACCCGGAGCGCGAGGUCGACGCCGCCGCACUUGGUGUACAUCUCGAUGAGCGCGUUGCACACGACGGUGCUGCGCAGGAGCCCGCGCUUGUCCGCGUAGGCGUGGAUCCACUUCCCGAGCUCCAGCGCGCCCAGUUGGGCGCACGCGGGCAGCACAGACACCACGCUGAUCUUGUCGGCGACCACCCCUUCCAUUUGCAUCUCCCGGAACGCGUCCACGGCCUCCGCGUAGCGGCCGAUGUUGGCGUACCCGGAGAUCAGCGCCGUCCACGAGACCACCGUUUUGUUCGGCAUGGAAGUGAACAAAGCUCUCGCCCUUUUCAUCUGCCCUAGGCGCGCGUAGGCUGAGACCAGCGUGUUCCACGAGACCACGUCUCGCUCGCGCAUUUCGUCGAACACCUUGUGCGCGAGCGGUAGCGCGUCGCAUUUGGUGUACGUCUCGAUGAGAGAGUUUUGGAUUACGGAGUUGGGGCUCAGCCCGGAUUUGAUCACGUUGGCGUGAACUUGGUUCCCGAGAUCCAGGUCGAGGAGGCCUCCGGAGGCUUUGAGAACGAAGGGGUAGGUGAACCGGUCGGUAAAAAUUGGAUCUUGGUCGCGUGAGCGCCGCAGCAUUUGGAUGUACGUGGCGAUUGCUUCGCGAUGGCGAUCGUUUUGGGUGUAGGCUUUGAUCAUGGCGUUGUAGAGGAACACGUUGGGCUCUUCUAUUUGGGUGAAUACUAGGGCGGCGUGGUCGAUCCUUCUAUUGGCGUUGCAGAUGUUGACGAUUUGGGUCGACAGGUAGCUGCUUUGGGAGAGGGAGGAGACCACGAUGUAAGCAUGGAUUCGCCUCAGUUCGUCGAAGCUAUCGCAGUUUCUCAAUUUGGGCAUUACCCUAUCCUCCAUUUCCUUCAUUACCCAAUUAGGGAUUCUCAUUGUGGUUGGAAAUGGACAGGGAGAGGAUCGCGAAGUUGAUUCGGAAUUGCUCGAAGGGUUCACUUCUCGGAGUUGGAAUUCAACUCCAUGGGGCUGUGUGGAAGUCGGGAUUUGUCUCUGAUAUCAUAUUGAGCAAUGAUCUUAUAGAUAUGUAUGGGAAGUGUGAGAGAAUAGAUGCGGCACGUAAGGUGUUCGGUGAAAUGCAUGAACGAAAUGUGGUGUCCUGGACCGCGCUCAUGGUUAGUUUCUUACAACAGGGUAAUGCUGUUGAGUCUCUUAAACUAUUUCAUGAAAUGGGGUUUUCGGGUGUUCGGCCGAACGAGUUUACGCUGUCGACUAAUCUGAAAGCUUGUGGCGUUUUGGGUAAUGCCAAAUAUGGGACUCAGAUACAUGGAUUGUGUUUUAAAACCGGUUUUGAAUCGCACUCUGUAGUGGGGAAUUCGGUUGUAUUCAUGUAUUCUAAGAGCUGUAGAAUUGAGGAAGCGAAGCGGAUGUUUGAUAUAAUGCAAUUAAAGAAUCUUAUUACUUGGAAUGCCAUGAUUUCAGGCUAUGUACAUGGAGGAAAAGAGAGGGACUCUUUACUUCUAUUCAAAGCGAUGCGAGAACUCCUCCACUUGCCCGAUGAAUUCACCUUUGCCAGUUUAUUAAAAGCAUGUGGUGGUCUCGGAGCUUUUCACGAAGGAACCCAACUUCAUGCUUCCAUCAUAACCAGUGGGAUAUGUAGUUCGCACAAUUCAAUUCUCUCAGGGGCACUUAUUGAUCUCUAUGUUAAAUGUCGGGAUAUACCGCAAGCGAAGAAAGUGUUUGAUCAAAGCAUGGUGAAGAAUGCAAUACAAUGGACGAACCUUAUCAUAGGCUAUGCACAGGAAGGGCUUUUAGAAGAAGCCGUGGAUCUAUUUCGUCAGCUUUGGAAAUCGGGGAUCCGAGUCGAUGGUUAUGUUCUUUCUAGCGUCACUGGUUUAUUUGCAGAUUUUGCUCUAAUAGAGCAAGGAAAGCAAGUUCAUUCUUUUGUGAUCAAGGACCCAUCUGGAUUAGAUCUAUCUGUAUCGAACUCGCUUAUCGAUAUGUACUUUAAGUGUGGACUCAUUGAAGAAGCUGAAACUCUUUUUGGAGAUAUGCAAUUAAAAAAUACUGUAUCAUGGACAACGAUGAUCAAUGGCUAUGGAAAGCAUGGGAAUGGCCUUGAUGCAAUAAAAAUGUUUGAAUUGAUGCGAGUGGAAGGAAUUGAGCCUGAUGAGGUAACCUUCUUAGCCUUGCUAUCAGCAUGUAGCCACGCUGGCUUAAUAAAAGAAUGUCGAUUCUAUUUCAACAAAAUGGUCCGUGAAUUAGGGUUCAGGCCGAAAGUUGAGCAUUAUGCUUGCAUGGUUGAUCUCCUUGGCCGAGCCGGCCAGUUACAAGAAGGUAAAGAUCUUAUACUUAGCAUGCCAAUGAAACCUUCUCCUGGUAUAUGGCAGACACUUCUGAGUGCAUGUCGGAUGCACAGAGACUUGGAAAUUGGUAAGGAAGUGGGAGACAUAUUAAUAAAAAUGGAUGGUUUUAACCCUGCGAACUAUGUAAUGCUGUCAAACAUUUUUGCAGAGGCAGGGAAGUGGAGGGAGUGUGAGAGAGUAAGGGAGAGAAUGAGAAGGAAAGGGUUGAAGAAACAAGGAGGGUGCAGUUGGGUUGAGAUAAAUAAAGAGGUGCAUUACUUUUACGGAGGCGAUGAUAGCCAUCCAAUGAAUGAUGAGGUACAUAGAGUUCUAAAGGAGGUCGAGAAGAGAAUGAGAGAAGAGUUGGGGUAUGAAUUCAUGGUUAGCUCUGUGUUGCAUGAUGUAGAGGACGAGUCGAAGGAGGAAAGCUUGAGAGCGCACAGUGAGAAACUGGCUAUUGGGUUUUGGUUGGCAAGAGAGGGCUUAGAGAAGAAAAAGAAGGGAUGUGAGGAGGUGAUUAGGGUUUAUAAGAACCUUAGAGUGUGUGGGGAUUGCCACAAGUUUAUCAAAGGAUUGUCGAGGAUGAUCGGGAGGGUGCUAGUGGUGAGAGAUGCUAAUAGGUUUCAUAGGUUUGAAGGUGGCUUUUGUUCUUGUGGAGAUUACUGGUGAGCUCCCUGAGAUGUGGAACUAGUAGACAAUUGUUUUGACUAGAUAUUAACACAGAAUUUUACGUGGUUGGAUCGCAACAUCACCAACUUCAUUGCAUUAAAAAGAUCAAUAGUUUGCAAAACUGAGAAUUGUGAAGAAUCAGCUUUUCUGUUGAUUAUUAAAUGAAAUCCAAGGGUUCUGUUUUGGGAUCUUGUAAUCUGCAUUGAUUAGUUGCGGUAUUGUAUGGGUUUAUGGUCCAAUGUUUGAAGCUUGGUAUAGUUAGUUUCCAGUUGACUGAAUCACUGAACCAAGUAUAGCCGCAGGAAGGGCUGAAAACUGAUGAAUUUUAUGAUACACAUAAAAUCUCAUUUAAUGUUGAAUGAUCAAAUCUACGAGUUCGUACAUCCAUUUGCAACUGUUAAGAAGGAUUAUUUGCUGUAACUGGAGCCAGCUGCAGUUAGAAUUGUUGGGAUCUGUUCUUCGGGAGCUGCAUUUCAUGUACAGAUGACUUCGAAUUUGUAAGUUGCACUCUUGAUUCUUACUUGGUCUGAAAUACUUUUAAACCUGAAGUGCCUAGUUAAGAUAUAUUCUACAACAUAUGAAAGGUGGAAGUAGUAACAUCAUCUUUGUUCCAUGUGCAGCGGUUAUCCUUUUCUUUCUUUAAUCUCUGUUGUUUUCCCUAUCCUUUCCCUUUAUUCGAUAGGGUAAAGAAGAAAAGAGGGAGAGAGAACAGAGAGGCAAAAAGAGAGGAAAAUGACAGAGGGCAUAAAUGAAAAAACAGAAAAUGCAAGUAGCACAGGAAUUGUUUUCUAAAAGAUCGAUCUAAUAAGAUGCCCAAGGUCAUGAAAUGCGUAGAGAAUUGACUGGUGGGGCCAAAAAUGGGGAGUUAACCUACUAGAUAAUUAAUAUCAGAACUAACCCAUUGUAAAGUGCAUGAUUGGGAUUGAGCUCAUGACCUCACAAAACUAAAGUGGUUUAGAGAAUUAGAAUUGACUCAGGAACUAUGUUAUCUAAAAGAUGAUCUGAUUGGGAAUGGGGCUUAGGUGUAUGCUAAUAGAGAUCAUGCUUGAGUUUUGUUUCUCAGGUUGACGGAUCGACACAACAAAAUGAGCCUUGGAGGUUGUUAAUGCAUUAUAUUCUGACCCAUUCUCAAUUCCCUGUUCUUUUCUGUUUGAGUUGGUUGGACCUGGCACAGCCAAUUACUACUCAUCCAGCCAGUUUCUUCUAACCAUUUGAUUAAGGUGAGCCGCAUACAUAUAACAAAGUUCCUGCUUAUUCUCUCUUAGCUGCAGUUCUCUUCAUUUCGUCAACCUUUUCAACCAUUUGAUGAAAUUGCCUCUUGCUUUCUUCAGAGAUGAGGAUUGUCGAUGAAGAGGAAUCAAACUAAAGGUGCAUAUGAAGAAUCACAAAGCAUCAUGUAAGUACAUCUGCAAGCUUUAAUUUUCUUUUCGCAUUAGUCAAUCUCUUUAUCCUUAUCUGAGAAGAUCCCAUUCUACUCUCUUUUGGUGAUUCUUUUUGCAUGUUCACUCUUUGCAAAUGUGGUCACAGUUCUAUGUUGAUCCGUGUCCACUCUUUGUUCACUUAUUUCGCACAUUUUCUGUAUAAUAGGACAGCUUUGCAUUAGUAAAUGUUAUCCGAAUUAUUCCACUUUUCGGAGCAACAAUUUUUGUGGACAUGUGACUGUACAAUAUUUGGAUUAAAACAAAAUUGAAACUGAAGCUGUGUGAAACAUGUGUGAAGACUAUUCGAAGGAUCUUGGAUACGGGUGUUUGAAUCCAAAAGACAGUCAAAAAAUAUGAUACUCAUCUUUACUUUCUUUAAAUUAUAAUAUAAACAUUAGACAACUAGAAAUUUUCUCUAAAGAAAAAUGCAAAGAAAAUAAAAGUAAGGCAACUUGCGAAGGGAAAGAACGGAAGGAAAGGGGACAAAUUAGAACUUAGACUUUUUAUCUAAAGUUUCUAGAUUCCAGCACUAAAGAUAAGAAUUAAAAAAGAAAAUAAAGAGGUAAAAAGAAAGAAACCUAAGCCUUCUUCAGGUCUUUCUCUUCUUUAUUCUCCACUAUAUUCCUUUCAAUUCUUUUUCUCUCUUUCAUUCUGUGUUACUUUAUUAUUCCAGUGGAUGGAGAAACACACUUUUAUUACACUUCCUAUUAGUAGUCAAAAACGGGUAUGUUAUAUUAACAAAAGUGAUGAAGAUUGGUUUGGUCAAAACUCAAAGGUUGAAGGUAAUAUGCCUACUUGUAAGUAAAUACCUUCCCUCAUCAACUAGAAUUCCUUUAUUGUGGGCCUGCUUUGGAUUGUUUAUGGCUUGUUGUUUUCAGUUUUCAUUGGCCUAGUAGAGUUUAAAAUGGCUUGAGAAACAAAGCUAUCAACAACUAAUUCGACAACUUCAGCUGUAGAGGCUCCUUUUUCCAGGUUUCCUCUGAUUUUGCUCAUAAGAUGACAACAAUUUUAGUAUAUCCCUGUUUGUUUGGGGAAUGAUAUUAAUACUACAAGAAUUGUCAUUGAAUCUGAUCGAGUUUAUCAUAUGAAUAACAACAAAAAAAUUAUUACUAUAUGUUUGUCAUGUUUUAUAGUUAUCUAUAGAUAUAUUAAAUCCUGAGUUCUACUGUGGCCGACGUGUCGCCUCCUCAGCGCCCCCCUCUCCCGUUCCCUCUUGCGCCCGGCUCGCGCGGUUCCUUCAUCCCCUCUCUCCAUUUUUUUUUUUUUUCAGCGCGGGCGCAGCGCAGGCCGGGGNCGGCGGGUGCGCGACCCGCGCGAGCAGGCACCAGGCGCGGGUCCCGCGCAUAGUAGUAGAGAUACACUUCAGAAUAUAUUUUCUUGUAAAGAAACAUUGUUGAAAAAGAAGAUUUUGGUCAUUCGCUUCUCACAACCAUAUCUGCUUUUGACUUCUCACAACCAGAUCUGCUUUUGACUCUUUCUAUAGAGAGAGUAGGACUCUCCCCCGUAUUUUGAGAAAGCUUGAAAUUCAUGUCUUUUAUCUUUCGCAUAUUUCUUGGCAUCCAAUAUUCUUGUAAGAAAAUUUUCUUUCGCUGAUGGUGUAGCUUUUAUAUUAUCUUUCAUCUUUUUGCACAAGAUUGACAAAUGAUGCACAAAGCAUUGGUAGGCGAACGAUGCGCAAAGUUAGAUAAUAGUAUUAGAAAUAUGGAAUGGAAUAAAGCAUUGCUAGAUAAUGAUGCACAAGAUGAGGAGAUGCACGGGACGCUGGAAAUAAUUUCUAUUUAUUUAUCAGUAAAAAGACUGUUUGAGCUACCAAAUUCUCGUAUAUUUGAGAAAGAAGAGACCCACUAUGGGAAAUGUUAGGUUCACAACGAAACUUAGCACUAUAUUAUGCUUGUUGUGCCUCUCUUACUUUUCAUUUUUGGCUCCACCCUGCUUAUUUGGCAAAUAAGUUUCGAGUAGGUUUGCGCACGAAGAACAGCGAAGUGCAUGAAUAGUAAGAAAAAAUUGAUACUAGUGUAAGUAAUACUUGGGUGAGCGUAAUGAAUCGUUCAGGGGAGAGUUGAUUGGUUUACAUAAUAUCAUUUUUAAAACAUUUUAAAAGGGUAGUUUAUGCUUAUUAUGUCAAGCUUUAUUGAUUGAAUAGAUAACAAUUUGUUCAGCUACUUUCUCUACAGUAUGCAGAAGCUUGAGUUCUAAAUUAUCAUCCCAAUAAUUGAAGUUAGAGUUGUUUUCUUUUUUUACCUUCUAAAUGCACAAAUGCAUUUGUACAAUUUCUUCAAUAAGCCUUUUUUUUUUUUUUUUCCUUUCUGCAAGCAAUGUGUUCAUCUCUUACAACAAUUCUUUUGUGUUGAUAGAUUAAAUGGCUAAGGUCGGAAAAUUAUAUGAAAACUGUACUCCAAUAUGGGGAGAAGAAGCAACGGUCGAAACGCACAAGUCAGAAUAUCCAGCCACGGCAACGGGCCACAUAUAAUUCUGGUUCAUAUGCAUAUGAAAAAUACUACAUAUACAUCAGUAUAUAAAUAUAAAUUUUACAAUUCACCCGUCAUAGGAUUCAUAAAAUUUCUUUGGAUUUUUAAUAAAAAAGAAGGGUUGGAUGAAUAGAACGUAAAAUUUAUAUACACUCUAGGGGUGUGUUUUGUUCACUUCUUUUUUACCAUAGAAUCGGAAUGGGAAUGAGUGAAUCCAUUUAUGGGUGUUUGGUACGUGGGAGUCCCAUUCCGAUUCCGAUUCCCGAGUGGAAUGGGAAUCGCUCAAUCACCCUUUUUUCAAUCCGGCCUAGAAGGUCGGAUUGAAAGUUGAAUCCGGACGGAAUAGAUAUUUAUUCGGAUUAAAUUUAUUUUUUCAACUUUUUUAAUUAAAAUAUAAGUUAAAAUUUAAAAAUUAAAUAUAUAAUUUUAAAUUUUAAUUUGAACUUAAAUUAAAAAUUAAAAUUUAAUCAAGUAUUUCGAAUCUAACUUAUGAAUUUGAAUUUAAAUUAAAUUUUAAUUUAUAUAAAGUUCAUUCAAAUUUUAUUUCAAACUUAAAUUAAAUUUAUGAAUUCAAAUUAAAAUUAAAAUUAUAAUUUUAAGUUUGAAUUUGAAUAAAUUAAAAUUUAGUUUCAUAUUUUGAAUUAUCCACUCAACUUCAAAGUUUAAUUUUUUUUAAAAAAAUAGAUUUAAAAUUUUGACAUUAUUUCAAAAUUUUGAUGUAAAUAUUUAAUAUUUAAUAUUUAAUUUGAAUUUAAAUUAAUAUAUUAUAAAGAUAAUGUUAGUAUAUUAAUUUGAUUAUGUUUUUAUAUUAAUCUGAACUAAAUAUCGACAAUGGGAAUGAUUUAUUUCGAUUCCGAUUCAGGUGAUGAAUCAAACAGAAUUAGAUAAUGAGUCAUUUCGAUUCUAAUUCCAGCUUAUUUUGAUUCCGAUUUCGAUUCUGACUCCAACUUCGAACCAAACAUGGGAGUGUACCGGUAGCAUUGCUUUAUACAUAUCUGCAUUCUCAGAUAACGAUCGUCAAAAUGGAAUUAGUUUCUUUCCUUCUAAUUCUUCCUUUUACACUGCAUUCCACUAAAUAAAAAAUCUUUAUUCAUUUUUACAAGCAUAUAUUUAUAUAUUUAUCCACCUAUACUAUUCUAGGGCAUGUUUGUUUCAUCCAAUCUCCGCCACGAAAAUCCUUCACCUUGCUGAACUGCAAGUACAGACGAUUGCGGGAAAUCGACGAACUCACAGAUUGGAGGCUGGGAGCUGAUGAGAGAAAACGGUUUGUGACCACCGGCACCGACUUUGUGUACAGCAUGGAAGCCACCAUUUUGCCCCAUUCUACGGUGAAGUAGUCUAAGAUUGGGUGCAUUGCCCGGAACUCGCAAACUCUGCCCUCUUCCAACCCCAGAAAAACAAAUAUACCCUUAUUCUCCGAAAGCAGUUUGUAUUUCUAAACUCCGUAAUGAAAUUCUACAUUGUUCUAGUAUGGCAUUACAUGAAUUGUCUUGCUAUCGAAUCCGGCGAGGCCGCCGUUCUUUACCGCACCCGCCGUGUAAAUUAUUCGGAGGAGAUCUCCUGCCAUCCGCGCCGCCGCGGGCGAGCACUCCCGCUGCAUCACUUCCAGUAACUUCCCCAGCCCCCCCGGCACCGCCAGCAUUGCCUCCCUCGCCCUCUUAUCGCCCCCUCCUCCGCCGCCGCCGCAGCACACGGCCCACAGCGCCGCCACCGCCGCCUCCCUCCCCACGGCCUCGACCCUCGUGAUCCUCCCCAUCAGCGCCCCCACCACCGCUGCCGGUUCCCCCGCGAUGCCACCCUCCCGUCCGCGCACCCCGCUCCGCCCCACCAGCGCCAUCCCCUGCUCCGCCGCCGCCGCCGACACCUCCGCCCGCGAUCGCCCGCGCCAGCGCCGCCCCCCCGCCGCCCGACCAUCCGCGCCCGUGCCCUCCUCUUCCCCGCCGCCGCCGCCGCCGCCAUGCACCCGAUCGCCGCCUCCGCCGCCGCCCCUCCCUCCCCCAUCAUCCUCACCAGCUCCGGGAACAGCUCCUCCCUCUCCGCGAUCGCGGCCCUCGACUCCUCGCCGCAAACCCUAGCGGGCGACGCUAGGAUCGACUCCAGAACCCUAACGGCGUCGAUCCGGGACCCGAUCCCCCGCCCGUUCCGCACGACCGCGAGGAGCGCCGAGACGGAUCGGUCCAGAUCCGCGACGAGCGCGGCGAUCGCGCUCUCCUUAUCGCCCUUCCCGACCCGAUCCGACCCCAGCAUCAGCGCCAAAACCCGAACCGCCGCCUCCGAAUCCCCGCCCUCCCCCGCCGCCGCUAUCCGCGACGCGAUCUCCGCGGCGGAGGGGUCGGAUCGCCCACCGCCGUCGUCGUCUUCGGCGGCGGCGGAGAGGAUGAGGCGGCGGAGGGCGAGGUUGGGGACUAGGUGGGUGGAGGGGAGGGGGAGGCGCGUGGCGGGGCAGGUGCGGUGGCCGGAGUCGAGCCACCGCUGGAUGGAGGAGCGGUCGUAGGUGACCCCGGUGCACAGGCUCACCGGCGACCGCAUCACCUCCAGUGAGAUGGGGCACCGGAACAGGGGCGGUAACCUCACCUCCAACGGCUCCGGUAAUCGCCGGCGCCGGGGACGCUGCUCCGCACCUGGUUGUCCCAUGGUGGGGAGGGGUCUUGUUAUGCGGACGUACGCAUAAGAGGGAGGAGGAUGGGGUGUGGGUUGCGGGGGUGGGUGGAUUUAAAGUGCGCGGAGGGCACUGGGAGGAGUCAAAAGUGAUGACGUCGCCGGUCAACGGUACGAUUCUUGACUCUUCUUUGAUUGUGAUUCCCGUUUUGUGACUAACUAAUUAAUAAUGAGCGUGUUUGAAAAAGGAGCCCAAACUAAAAAAGUGACAUCUAUUAAAUUUAUAUUACUACGAGACAAGUUAUUCUUUAUCCUCAUCAUUAUUUGAUAAUUUUCAGUUUCUUCAUCAAAAUUUUAAUUACUAUAUUUAAUUAAUUCAUCUAAAUGUUUUUAUUAUCAAAUUUUUAAUGAUAAACUGUCUUUACCCUUUCCUUUUAAACUUUUAAUUAAUACAUCUAAACGUUACCGUUAUCAAACUUUCAAUGGCAAAUUGUCCUUCACCUUCUAUUCCUGCAUGAAACUUUCGCUAAUAUAUUUAAUUAAUACAUUUAAACGAUUUCAGUACCAAAUUUUUCCUCCAUCAGAUUUUUUAUUUCCAUUCAAUUAAUCAAUUCUCCAUCUCUCACCUUUUUCCAUACAUCAUUGCCUCCCUCCCUCUCUCCCUCCCUCUCUCACUAAUGCGCGCCUAUGUCCCACAUCCGCCGCGGCCGAAGGGAUCGUCAUCAUUUUCACUACCAUCGUCACCGGAGAAUGCGUCAUCAGCUCCAUUCCUGUUACCAAUAGUGAGGGACCUUUCGUGACUGUUGCAAGUGAAGAAUACAAAAGAAUAUUUAAAGUUAUUUUAUUAUUAAUUACUCAUAAAAUUUUUACUUGUUACAAAACGCGGGCUCUUUCACUAGUUUUAGUAUUAAACAUGCUCCAGUAAUACGAAAACUCAAUAAUUAUAAAACUUCUUAAAAUCUAGGCCAUAUAUUUCAUUUGAGUCUUGCAUUAUAAAUUACUUCAAUAAUCUCACCGCAUUCUUUUGUUAUUGUUUCAAAUAAAUUCAAAAUUUUGAGAUAAUUGGCGACUUAGAUUGUAUAAUUUUUCUAAAACUAAUUGAUAUAUCAUAUUAUUCCAUAUAUUAAUAUCUAUUUAAUUUAUAACGCAAAAUAGAUAACAAAUCAGAUAGAGUGUUGUCGCAAAAAAUUAAAGCCUUUAUUAACUUAAAGCAACUAUAGUGGUUGGGAGAUGCAAGCAUUUUGUGUUUGUUAGGUUCUCCGCUGGGAUUUGACGGACUCGAAGCAUGCUAAGUUCAGUCGCUUGAAACAAAACAUCAAUUAUUUGAGCUCAAUCGUCUCUCCGCCGAAAUUGAAACACUCUAAAACUCAAAAUCUUGGCUUGGCCUUAAAAUAAUGGCCAAAAUUUCUGACAGAAAAAUUGUCAAAAUCAUUAACAUUGAAACGACUGCUGCUAAACCUAUCGUAACUAGUACUACUGAAACCGACCGUUCCUAAAACAAAUGGCGAAGAGUUUGGUGAUUGAUACCCGAGGUCCCAAAUUCGAAUCCUAGUUGAUUCACAUUUCCAGCUAAAUUUAUUUUUAAAUGAAAUAAACGACGCAGAUAGCGUGCUACUUAUCUCUCAAAAAAAUAUUAGUACUACUGUAAAUUGUUGAAAUUUCUACUAGAAACUGCCGAAACUAUUCCUACCUUCGACCGGGAAUAUGAAAGCUACAUUUAUUCCUCCUAAAUCGCUUGAGAAGUAUGCUAUCGGUUUCGUUGACGGGAGAUCCAGAGUCUCCACUCUUCAAAUCCGAGUCUACGAAAAUCUCAGUCAAAUUCAAAAAUUAAUAGUGUAUGUUUGUCACCUGCCAUAUAUUAGAUGGCCCAGAUGAUCACUCUGUCUUUAUUCACUAAUUUUAACUAAUUUAGCGACAACAAAGAGAUAUAUAUUCACUAAUUUUAUUUUAUUAUUUACUUGUAACUAAUUUUUAUCCACUAAUGUGAUUUUGUAAAGUAUUACGACUCAAUUCAAUAAUUUUUUUUACCUUCAAAUUUAUUAAGAAUAAUGAUAAACUAUGAGAAGGUAAUUGAUGUAAUUUUUAAUAAAAUACGCUAAUUAAAAUAAAGGCCCAAAUGCAAGAAGGAUUACUAUAAUUUAGCCUUUUAUCAAAAUAUACUACCCUAAUAUCUAUUCUCUAAAAAGGAAAAAUUGCUGUGUGCACCGGGUGUGUGACACAUCGUGUACACCGCAUCAAUACAACUUGUUGAAUGGUGUGCAAAUUUAUUAUAAUAAAUCGAACAAUGGUUUUUUCUCUGUUAUUGAUUUUUUUUAAACUAGUUCCUACGCGGCUAAUAGAUUUUUAAAUAUAUAAUUUUUAUAUAAAUUUUAAUUUUACAAUAUUAAUCAUCCAGCUAAGUAAAAUUUAAUGGGAUUCAGUUGAGACUUGAGAAUAACUCAAUUCAAUUCAUUUAAAAAUAAAAUUUUUUAUUUUGAUUAAAAUAGAGCUCGGCUGAAUUCUAUUUUAGUUUAUUGCUUAUUAAAAGAAGAAAAAUUAUUUUUAUGUAAUUAUUUCUUUCAGUUAAUCUUUAAAUUUCGUAGCAUUUUAGGCUAUUGAUAAAGCAUAACUAAAAAUCAUUGCUUAGUGCAGUCGUUCUUAUCCUGCGGAAUUUACAUGGCCGGGUUUGAAAUAUGCACAUAUAUAUUUACCAAAUUUGAUUCUCCCGAUUUUUCUGAUAUUAGUAAUGUGUUAGUUUGCACGUGCACGUUCAUAUUUACGGAGUUUGAUUUUCCGACUUUUUAAGAAAAGUAAAUAAACAAAUAAGGUAAAAUGUCAAUAAUAGCGGUGAGAAUUUAAAAUUAAAUUAUGAGAUUUGGAUGAGAGUUAUUUGUACUAUAAAAAAAAAUUCUUCCAAAUCCUCAUGAAUGAACUGUAUUUUCGUUAGCUAAUGGUAUCAAAUAAUAGAUUAGGAAAUCAAAAUGAUCUAAGCGAAUAUUGUGUGUUGUGUAACAUGUUGCAACCAAUAAUUUCUCAUUGGAAAGUGAUGAGGAUUCCAAAGCUAUAUAUAUAUGAGGACAUAAAUUGGGGCCUCGAAUGUGACAUUUUGAAGACUCUAGUUUGGUUCGUUUUGGAUAGAAAUUUUAUACUACUAAUUGUGUAGUAGGAUAAUUAGUUUUAUUCAUAUUGUAAUUAAUAAUUAGUUUAACUUUUCAAACUACAAAACACUACUCUUAACAAGAUGUUAACACGCACAAGCUACUGUAUUCUGAAAUUAAAUUUGAAGAAUAUGCUACAUUACUAUUAAACUAUGUUCAUGAUAUAAAUAUAGUAAUGUUUAUUUUUCAUUCAUAGAUUAAUAUGAUAAUAUAGGAUCAAAUUCAAUUACUAAGGGUCUGUUUGUUUCAACGUAAGUAAAAUUUAGAUUGAAGUAGAUUUUAGGUUGAACGAAAGUUCAGGUGAUAAUUACUUCACCUCCACUGUUUGUUCUUAUAGCUGUGAAAGUGAAAAGUUCUGUUAAUUCUGCUAUUUGUUUGGCGAAAAGUAAAUAGCUAAAAAGAACAGUUCCAUACUUUCUCUAUUAAUUUGUUUUACCGAAAAUUGUUAAAUCCCCACACGAGUGUAAACUUACCUCCUACAUUAUAUCAUUCCAUAUUAUAUAACUUAAUAAAUAAUAAAUUAUAAUAUAAUAAAUAAAAAUAAUUAAAAUAAAAUUUAAAAUAAUUAUAUUAAUUUUUUUGGAUAUAAAUUAUAAUAAUGCAUUAAUAAAAUAUUAAAAUUAAAUAAAUAUUAACAUUCAAUAAAUUAUUUUUUAUCGUAUUUUAAAUGUGCAAAUUAAACGGUAAGUAUUUGGCAUGCCCUUUUAAUUUAUUUAGGAAGUUUGUAAUAUUUGGAAGGUAAGGAAUUUGAUCAAAUAUUUAGAACAAAAUACUAUAUUCAAUCUUCUGGUUAUUAUUUUGGGAAUAAUAAAAUAUGCUUUCUUGUUAAAUUAUGGAUGUCGAAUAUUUUAAAAAGCAAAAAAUUAAACUCUUUACUUUCAAUCACACAAAUUUUUUUUCAAUUAUUGGAUACAUUACUUUGACAUUUGAAUACACUAUUUUUUAUUUACUUAAAAUAUUUAUAAUAUUUGGUAGAUGUGGAGAACUAUGAUUAAUGUAAAAAAAAAAAAGCAUAAUUAAUGUCAAAAAAAGCAUACUAUAUUGGAUAUUCAAGUAAUAUUCUCAAAAUAAGAUAAAUUAAUAAAAUAUGCUUCCUAUCAUAUCAUCACUUUCAAGGAAGGAGUUAAGAUCAAUCAAUCUUCUAUCUGCUAGUAAUAAAAUAAAUAAAUAAAUCUUUAUGGCGUAAAAAGUUAUCAUUCAAUAAUUUAUUCUAACAUUCAAAUAGACUCUUAAUAUAUAUAUAUUUUUGUCUAUGGUAGGGAGUAUCGGGGGUAAAUUACAUUUUUGGUCCUCAAACUAUGAGGUUGGUGGCAAUUCCGUUUCCAAAUUUUAGUUUAUUAUAAUUUCUAUUUUGAAUUUUCUAAAUUAUUAAAAUUAAGUUUCACAAUCAAAUUUAGUUGACUAAAUAUUAGUACGUUGCUAAUUAUGAAAGUAGUAUAACAGUAUUGUGACUGAUAACAUGAUAAUAAUUAAUAUGCCAUAGUACUUCUACAUCAAUGACAAGUCAAUAUUUUAGUUAAGCAAGUUAGAUUGUGGAACUUUAUUGCAACAACUAUAAAGUUCGAAUAUAAUAAAUAAAAAAUUUGAGAACCAAAAUAACAAAAUCCUCACAGUUUGAGAACCAAAAGUGUGGUUUAAGGACUUCUUUUUUUCUCUUUAACUUUUUUUUUCAGUAACAUCUCUAGGUCAUAUUUCUAUUUCUUUUUCUAACUAAGGUAAAAUUUGAACUCAAAAUCUAAUAUCCGAGGACCAGGACAUCAACUAUACGUAUAAGAUAGCGAUGGUGAAUAAGGCCGUCGGUGAGCCAAACACCAGCGAGUUAGAGCCGGCUAGAGUUCAGCUCGAAAAUAUUAAAGGUCGGCUCGUGACGAGUUUGAAAAUUCUAACUUGUGUUGGACUCAGCAAUUUAUUCGAACUUAGCUAGUGCUCAACUCGUUAGAUCAAUGCUAUCUUAUUAGUUUAUUAGCUCGUGACUCGGCUCCUUAGCUCAAUUUUGUGUUCGUGUUCGUGUUGUACUGUGUUUCAAGAAUUUUCUUUUAUAAAGUCCAUUUGAGCACCAAACAAUUAUUUGAUAGAAGAACUGGAUAGGAUUCAGUUCACAACCUACAAAACCAAAUCAAACACUUUUAUCCAAAAUAAAAAAAGUUCUAAAAAAUAAAGUAAAAAUGUCGCUACAAAAUUCAAAUCCAUGUUCAAUAUGACAAGAAAACCUCUUGAAAUACCCCCAUCCGCCCAUAAAAGAAACUAGAAGAGUACCAAAAAAAAAGGAAAAACUUCAAAUACCCUCAUGUGGUUUCGCAUUUUUUCACUUUAGUAUCCUGUUGUUUAAAAUGUAUCAAGUUAGUAUCCUGUGGUUUCGCACUUUCUCAUUUUUAGUAUCCUAUGGUUUCAAGUGUAUCAAGUUAGUACUCUGUGGUUUCGCACUUUCUCACUUUAAUACCCUGUGGUUUAAUAUUUUUUUAAAUUAUAUACCCCGAAAUAGAUAAUAAAAAGAGAAAUUUGAAACCACAUGGUACUAACUUGAUACACUUGAAACUACAGGGGACUAAAGUGAGAAAGUGCGAAACCACAAGGUACUAACUUGACACACUUUAAACCAUAGGAUAUUAAAAUGAGAAAGUGCGAAACCACAUGGGGGUAUUUGAAGUUUCCCCAAAAGAAAAUGAAGAUCAGAAGAAAUAAGCGAAUCACUGGAUGGACACAGGACACCCGUGCAGAAUUGAUCGGGGCAAGCUAGGGUUUUGAGCCAUGGGAGAGUAGAAUCUAGGGUUCUGACCUUCUGGGGGAGGAGGAACAGGGGCGAUCGCCAUCAAUGGAGAGCUUGAGAGGGAGAGGGGAAAAGGUCAUGCGGAGGGUGUGCGAAGAAAAAGAGAGAGAGAGUCAACUCUUUUUUCUUUUUUCCUCUAUCCCAAUUUUUCUCUUUCUGAUAUAUCAAAGGAUCCUGAGAUAUUUGUCGGCGGACUUGGAAAGCCACUUACAGGUGAGUCCGCGAAUUAUAGUAGGGAAGAAUUAGGGUUAGGAAUUAGGUAGGAUUAAAAAGGUAGAGAGAGAGAGAGAGAGAGAGAGCAUGACUACUGUGCUAUUAGGAACACAGCAGCCGUACAACGGCUACUAUGCUUCUAAAUAUUUAAUUAUCCAUCUGGUUAGGGCGAAAGAGAAAAGAGAAAUUAUAUUUAUAAUUUCUCUUAUUUAUAAUUUCUCUUUUCUCUAUCACCCUAAUCAUUCAUCAAAAUUAAUAAAUGAUUAAAAAUUUAGGAGCACGUAGACUACUGCCCUUCUAAUAGUAUAAUAGUCAUUCUCUCUCUAUACAUAUAGUAGGACUACUAUACUAUUAAAAGUACAGCAGCUCUUGCGUUCCUAACUAUUAGGAUUAGAGAGAGAAAAGAAAUUGAAAAAAAAUUCAAAAAGAGAGGGAAAUUUCUCCUCAGUUCUUUUCUCUCUCUCACCCUGAUUAUCCAUCAAAAUUGCUCCUCAAUUCUCUUCAUCAAAAUUGAUCUCUUUAUAAUUAAGUUGGGUUUUAUAUUUAAAUUAGGCUAAAAAUUAAAUAAUAAAAUUCUAUAUUUUAUAUAUAUAUUUAUCUAUAUAAAUAUAAUACACAUAAAUUAUAUAAAUAUAUAUAUUCUAGCUGUUAUCGAGUCGAACAUGAGUGGGUUAAAAAAUUUCGAUCGUGUUGGGCUCGUUUACAAAACGAACCGUUCGAUCUUGAGCUUAUUUUGAACCGAACACGCGCUGCCUCGUGAACAAGGAGUUGGAUUACCACACCUAGUGGUGAUAGAGUACAUUUUUUUUUUCUACUUCAAUGUUUCUUAAGGAAAAAGAGAAAACAAUUCCACAUAUAUCUUGUAAAGUAGAAAAUUACAUGUUUAGCUUUCUUAAAUUUUAAACUAUAUACUUGUCAAACUUUAAAACUCACAAAUACAUUUCUGAAUAGAUCAAAACUUAUCAUAUAUUAAUAUAAUGAUUAUUCUGGUCUUAACAUGAUUGGUAAUACCGAUCAAUUGUUAUAUUGAGUUUAAGCUCUCUUGGUGGCUAUUUGAUCUGCUUUGAAUCUUUUCCGAAUAUUUUUUAUCUCUCUAAUUUUAUGGGAGCGAUGAAGCGAUAAGAACAAAAUAGUUUUUUUAAAAGGAAAUCCGUAUUUUUUGACUGAUUAAGAAGUAUACUUAUAAAAUAUGUACGUAGAAAUAUACAUAACAUUUUAAAAUUUUAGAAUAAUAAGCAUAAAAGACUCUAACGUAAUGGAAAUAUAUAUAUAUAAUAUAUAUAUAUAUAUAUAUAUUAGUAAUAUAAUAGUAAUAAUAUAUAUAAUAUAGUAUAUACUAUAUAUACAUAAAUACAUAUUUCAAAUUUCGGAUCAGUCGACACUCGACAUCCCAUAUUUCGGUCAGGAAAAAAAUUGAUUCAUCUUUCUUUACGUAAAAUAAAUAACAUAAUAAACAAACUUUUAAUUUCUCUUAUCUCUAAAAUAGAAAAAAAAUAUACUUACCAAAUUUUGCCACCGAAAGAUAUACUGGAAUCUACAUAUUUAAUUCAAAAUUUGUAUAAUUUCUUUUAUCUCUAAAAUAGAAAAACAAUCAUACUUAUCCAAUAUUUUUUGUCAAGAAUAUUCUACCGUGAAAUUUAUAUUUCAAUUCAAAAUUUAAAAUUAAUUUAAAUUUUAAAAUUUGAGACUAUCAACAUAUAACAACAUAAUUUAAAAGAUAGAUUGGUUCCUAAUUUUCUAAAUCAAUUUUGAAUUAAUUAUGUACAAAUUUAUGACAAUUUGGUAAAAAAAAUAUUUAUACAAAUACUAAAUUCAAUUCUACUAUCGAUUAAGAUCAAUUGGGUAAAAAUAUUGAAAAUAAAAAUGAAUGGUAUGAUCAAUCUGUUAAAAAAAGCACUUCUAUCCAUUCAUUUAAAUUAAAAUUUAAAUUUGAGUUAAAUCGUACAAUUUAAAUUCUAAUUUUUUGAUUUUGAUAAUCCAAUCUAAUCCAUAUAUUUUAUAUUAAAAUUUAAAUUUAUGAUUGUAGAUAUUUCUAAUAAAAUAUAACAUAUAAAUUUACAAAAUAUUUUAUUCUAAAUUUUUGAAUAAAUAUAAAUUUACAAAUUUUGUUGUUUAAAAAUAAAUUAAAUAAUUGUUCCGGACUGAAUUUUGCGCGUACGCUCAUCUAGUAAUAUAUAUAUAUAUAUUAUAUAAGAGAGAAGAGAGAGAACGAGUAGCAAGGCUCUGUGCGCUCAAGAGCACAAGGCCUCCGUCUCAAUGAGAUCCGUAUAUACAUCGGAGUUUCCGAUUGACGAUCGGCUUCCGUAAAACUUGAUCUGAGGCAUAUUUGAAGUUUCUAGAAAUAAUUUUUGUAAUUUUUUACGAUAUCAUUACCUAGGCAAUCGAAAGGAUUCAAAAUUAAUAAUUUUUAACAGCUGAAGAUAAAAAUCUAUUAAAAAGGGAUGAUUACACUAACAUGUCGAUCACAAAAUAUUGAUAACUUGUUAUAAUAGUAGUUAUAAAAGAAAUGUUUUGUAUCAAAAUUUCAUCUUAUUUGAAUACUUCUACACUGUUAAACUUGAAAACGGCAGAUAUCAACAGUUAAAAAUUAUAGAUUUUGAAUCCUUUCGAUCACUAGGUAAAUGAUAUCAAAAAAUCACAAAAAUUAUUUUCUAGAAACUUCAAAUGCGCUAGAUCAAGUUUAACAGAGCUGAUCGUCGAUUCGAAAAUUUCAUCAUCGAAAACGGCUCAGGAGCACGGAUGCCCUGCUCUCUCUCUCUCUCUCUCUCUCUCUCUCUCUCUCUCUAUAUAUAUAUAUAUAUAUAUAUAUAUAAUUUGUAUAAUUUGAAUUGUCCUUUACGAAAUUAUUAAUUUUGCAUCAUAAAUUAGUUCCAUAUUUUAUAUUACCCCACCAUUAGAAGCAAAGUUGAAAAGGUUGCACUGCACGGUAUGUGGCCAUGUGGGUAGUGUACUGCACCACUUUUAUUACUGUCACUUCAUUGCAAUUUAAUAUGUGGGGGGACCCAAAUGUUCCUCCUAGUCCUGGUCAGAGGAAUAUUACAUUGUUGAUGGGGACUCUCUACUGCACCAUUUAUUUGUGAUAGAGGAAUAUUGCGGUGGCAAUGAUAUCCUCGACAGUACAUGUUUUCUAAUGUUUCAAAAAAUAUUUUAUAUAUAUAUAUAUAUUAGAAAUAAUCACUUAUAUAUUUUUUAAUAUUUCUAAAAUAUCUUAUUUAUUUUUUAAAAUAUAUUCCUUAUAUAUUUCUCUGUUAUUGAAAAAUAUCACUGGCAUAUUAGGACCCGUUAAGUCAUUUUGGAUUAAAUCUGGACUAAAUUUCUAGAAGAGUUAAGAAAAAGUCAAAUACCUCUUUUGCCCCUAAUGUAAGGGUAAAUAAGAAAAAUUGGUGACGGUAAAAAAAUAUAUUAGAAAAGAAAGAGUCAAAAUACUUCUUUUUGCUUCUAACUUAGAACCAAAUAAGAAUUUUUUUUUUUAUUGAGAGAUAGCGAGAUAGGUAGCACGCUACUCGCUUCGUUUGUUUCAUUUAGAAAUAAACUUAACUGGAAAUGUGAAUCAACUAGGAUUUGAACUUGGGACCUCCGAUACCAACCACCAAGCCUUUUGCUACUUGCUCUAGGGGUGGUCAGUCCAAAUAAGAAAAGUUGAUUAAGGUAGAAGGAUAUGUUUGAAAUGGCAAAAUAAAAAUUUCGUAUAGAUAACGAUUGUUCCUGACUCUAGGGUUAUAUUUGAAAGAAUGCGGAAGGUUAAGAAACUAUUUUAUUCUUUCUAAUGAACUAUUUAUGAUUUUUGUCAAGCAUAAAAAUAAAAAUACUAACUAAUUCAUGAUAAUUUAGCAUUCCUCUAACCUAGAAAUCUAUAAUGAUUUCAUUACUUCACAAACACGUUUUACAACUAUCCACCGAGUUGAAUGAUAAUAAUUUGAAUAUUUUCAAUACAAAGUACAAAGGAUUGUUGGAAUAUUGCAAACCGUAAAUUAAACGGGUUGUAGAGUGCGUUUGGUUCGUGCUAUUGUGUUAGGAUUAUUAGAAAUUUUAUAAGAAUAUUUAAAAUUACUGUAUUUGAUUCAUGCGGCAUGUAAUUCUAUUAGUAAUAUAAGAUUCCUAAUAGCCAUUGGCCUAUGCNACUUGCUCUAGGGACGGUCGGUAGUAAUAUAAGAUUGCUAAUAGCCAUUGGCUUAUAUAUAUAUAUAUCUCAGUGGGGUCCAUUGACCCUAUUGAGAUGAUGGCAAAAACCAUCUUUUGUGGACCCCACUUAGGAAGAAAACCUUUUUAGUUGGGUUUGAUUUGUAUAAAUUAACCUCUCUUUGGAGCCCAAGUUGAUCCCAAGUGGGGUCCAACAAAAUAUUUGUAUUAGACAAAAAUAUUAUAGCAAAUUUGAUAACCUGUUAACUUUUUUUUUUUUCCCUCUAAUUAUAAAAAAUAGAAAAAAAAAAUUUUCCUCUAAACAUUGGCGAAUGUAUAUACACCUCACAUCUUAGUGGAGUCCGUUAACCCCACUGAGAUGAUGUAAAAAACUAAAAAAACUCUUUAGUUGAGUUUGAUUUGUAUAAAUUUCUUUGGGGUCCAAAUUGAUCUCAAAUGGGGUCCAACAAAACUUUUGUAUUAGACAAAAGUAUUAUAACAAAUCCGAUAACCCGUUAUUUUUUUUUUUUUUUCGUUAGCAAUAGCAAAAAAAACCUAGCCUCCUUUAUCCUACGUAAUUUUCCUCUUUAUCUCUCCCAAUUAUAUUGAAUCUAAUUAACAUAUUGAUCAAUAUUUUAAAGGCCAAAUCCAAUCCUAUUUAGAUGCCAAUAUAUUUCUUUUCUUCCAAUUUUUUAAUUGAAAUGCAACAUAUAAGGUAUGUGUAUGGAUCUUUAUUUGCUUUUUUUUAAUUGUGAAUUUGUUCUUUUUAUAUGAAAUGAAUAGAAGUUAUUUUAUAUUGUUAUUAUCUAUUAAACUAUAUGAAUCCUCAAUGUUUAUUGCCACGUGGCAAGUUUUUCUUCACGCUCACUAAUGUAACUCUUCUUCUUUUCAUCACUAAAUUUUCAAUAUGCAUUUUAAUGGUCCCAUUAACCGAACAUUCAAUUAGUGCAUUUAAAUGGUCCCCUUACCUUUCCUCCACUAUAUUUUCAAUUAAUGUAAAUGGUUCCACUACCAAACUUUUAAUUAGUAUAUUUAAAUGGUCCUACUACUAUCUACGAUCCUAAUCUCUUUAUGUCCAAUUAUUCAUCAUGUUCACUAAAUUUUUAAUAUACAUUUUAACGGUCUCAUUAAUCAAACUUUCAAUUAGUGUAUUUAAAUGGUCCCACUACUGUUCCUCUACUAUACUUUUAAUUAAUGUAAAUGGUUCCACUAUCAAACUUUCAAUUAAUAUAUUUAAAUGGUCCUACUACUAUCUACGAUCCUAACCUCUAUCUCCAAUUAUUCAUCAUGGCCCAUUUUCCUCCUUCCAUCGAACUUUCAAUUCUUUAUCUUCGAUUUGUUGAUCAAUUCUUUAUUUCUUAUCUUUAGCUAUACACCAUCGCCUCCUUUCCUCACUCCCUCUCUCUCUCACUAAUGUGCACCAAAUUCCUUCUUCCGCCGCGGUCGGAGAGAUCGUCGUCGCUGUCACUAUCACCAUCGUCGGAGAAGGCAUCGUCGGGUUCAUAUCUGCCGCCUACAGUGAGAUAUUUUCGAUAGAUGUACCAAAUAAGAUACACAAGAGAAUAUUUAAUAUUUUAUUAUUAUUAAUUACUAUUAAGGUUUUUAUCUGCUGCAAAACGCGGGUCUCUUCACUAGUGGUAUAUAAAAGUACAAUAACUAAGUACAUUAGAGAUUUUUAUUUACAUGUACUUGAUAAGUAUUGUUAUUUGCGAAUUAUUAUUAUUAUUAUUUAUUUUUUUAUUUUUGUUGGCUAUUGACAUAUGAUUAAUUUUAUGUUGUUUGUAAGAAACUAAUUUAUUUAUCACUAAUUUUUGCUAAUGAAUAUGGAGAAAUAUUUAGAAAGAGAAGCCCCUUCUAGUUGUUUUCAACAAAAGUCAUCUCAAACUCAAAAAAGGGAAAGUGAAAACCUAGCAGGUUUGAUUGCAAUGCGCAUCAAUUUUCUUACAAGGGAAGCGAAUUUCAUCUAAAUACCUUUCCUGCUGAUCUUGUAGAUAGGAAAAGAAUAUUAGACUACCACCCAAAUAUUCGUGAUGAAAUUCGAAGAGCAUACCUACAAAAAGUUGGUUGAGACGAAGAAGUAUAUAGUGUAUUCGCGAGUUUUUUUGCUUUCGAAGUUGGCAUUAAUUCUACCUGUUGCUAUCGCCACAGUGGAAAGGUCUUUUUCUAUGAUGAAUUUUAUAAAGAAUAAAUUGUGCCAUCAUAUGUGUUAUCAACUAAUGAACGAUUGUUCAGUGACUUAUAUAGAAAAAGAUAUAUUUGACAGUGUUUCCAAUGAGGCUAUUAUGCACCAUUUUCAGAAUAUGAAGACACGUCGAGAACAAUUGUAAAAGAAAUGAUUUUUUUUUUAUACAAUACUAAAAACUAGUUUAUUUUUUUAUUACUUUUUGGUUUUUUUUUCUUAUAUAUUAACCCCAUACGAGAAAAUCUUUAGAUCCGCCACUGCUAAUAGCAAAUGAUAUGCUCCAAAAAUAUUACAGAAAAGGAGGAUGGAUAUAUUAUAUUACUGGUUAUAGUUUAUCCUAAACUUAUGUAAAGCUACAAAUUAUCUCUCUCCACCACCCAAACCAUUUCUCACCUCUUAUUUCAAUCGUAAAGAGUUCCUGGCCUUUUGAUAAUUAAGUUCACAACGGAAGUAAGGAUCUACCUUGUGAUAAGAUUUGAGCAAUCUACCGCCUAGAGAGGGGGAGCAAUAAAUACUUGAGAAUAAAAAACAAUUCUUGGAUAGUAUUUUGAAAGCAUAUUGCGUAGUGCAUCAAUUAUGAUGCAGUUUUAUACUAUUAUGAAGGAAAAUACAAAAAAUAAGCAAGAACAGCAAAAAUUCAACUGCAGUCGCAAUGAAACUAUUUAAGACAAUUCUCUUAUUCUCUUAUAGAAACUAUUCAGCUGCAGUCACAAGAAUAGAUGCUUGAGACUAAAAAUAAUUCUCUUAGACAAUUUUUUGAAAACAUGGUGUGUAGUGCAUCAAUUAUGAUGCAGUUUUAUGCUAUAUAUUAUGCAUGAAAAUACAAGAAAUAAGCAAGAAUAGCAAAAAUUUAGUUGCAAUCACCAAGAAACUAUUUAAGACUCACAAAAACCUUAAUCAAACACCAGCACAAAAACCACAACAGUAAAUAUACAAUUGAAAUGGCGAAUGUGGUACAAGAUAUUACGUGAAACACCCUAAUUCAAGGGAGAAAAACCACCGGACAAUCAAGAACAAUUUCAUUAGGGCAAAAAUAGAGUUACAAAGGUGGUAAAGACUCUAUACCAAUACCACCGUAGUCCAACAAUGACAAAAAGGCAUGCAUCCAUGCUCCACUAACUCUUUUAUGAUAUAUCAAAAUGAAGUCACAUGCAAUCCACACCCGGCUCAAUUUAGAGCCUCGACUACAUCUGUAACUGUAAGGCACGCCAAAUCUAUGGCCGCUCACCUCCAUGAACCUCUAAGCACCCGAAUUCUAAAGCAGUGUAUGAAGAGAUGCAGUGGAAUGAUUCCUGUUGCGAGCCGAACGUCCUCAUCUUUAACUCGGUCAAAGAUCUCCCUCGACAAGCGUGCAGGGAUGUGAAACGGUUAUGAACAGUGACCUUUGAAGUUUGCGCCCUUCGACUGAAUCAAGCGAUUCGGCUGACGAGGGAUCGGAUCAGCCGAGUUCAAAAACUCUACUGUAGAUUCGGUUCGGCUGGAUGAGCCGAAUGUACGGACUGUACAAAAGCUAAGGUCGGCCGAAGAGCCGAAUGGAUGAAAAAACACAAUAAUUAGUCGGCUGAAAGAGCCGAAUGCGUUUAUAUAUUAAAAUGAAGUUGGGAACUCAUACAAAACAGAGUGUGCCCGAAGGGCAUAAAAACUCUGAAAAUCUAGACUACAAUAGAGUGUGCCUGUAGGGCAUACAGACUCCAAAGAUUUAACUUAAAAAUUACUCCUAGGAAAGCAAUAAAUGCGGGUAAAAAAGAUUACAUGUAGACUACUCCUAGAAAGCGAUAAAUGUAGGAAAGGAAAGUAUUAAAAAUGCGGUGGUCUUUUCGUUCAGGGGAGAGAAAGACCCCUUUUACAGGCUUCAAAGUUACUAUUUAUAAUAUCUUAUCAGCCCACAUUAUUAGUUGGUUAUAGUAGUGGAGGAAGUGGUGUAGCCAUGAUCAUGAAAGUUACGUCCCACUUCUCAUGGAAGUUACGCCCCACUUCUCAACCGCUCCCGCCUAAACGCUCUUGACCUUCAGGCGCCUUAUUGCCGACUCGUGGUGUACCACGUGUCUUUAUUUCUUUGGCUCAUACGUGGGUUAGGUUGGCGUGUUAAUUUUUUCGUAUCAACAAUGCCCCCAAAUAGUCUUUCGAAUGAACGUUCGAAUGACUAUUGAUGCCAAAUCAACGGCUCAAUGACAUAGCCGAGACCCGAGCUUAAUUUCACUAGUCUUGGUCGGCUUAAAGGAAGCGACUCUUUACCAUCUUAACCGUAUUUGUCUCGGCUUCAUCAAUCGAUUCUUUGCUUUUACUCUAUUGGCUCGGCUCUUCUUGAACCAUAUGUUCUUCUAUCAAGGAUUUCUCUUUGAAGAAAGUGGCUCUUUACCAGCCGCAUAUACCUCGGCUUCAUCAGCCGAUUUUUCACUUUCACUCGAUUGCUUUUGCUCUAUUGCUUUACUUUUUAUAUCGGCUCCAUUGCGGCCGAUUGUCCUUACUUUUCUUUCGAAAUUGCUCAUAUUAGGCAACUCGAACAUCUAGAUCAAAUAGGUUAGAAAAAUAAUUAUAUUCAAAAUGAUCUUUUAUCUUAAAAUGCAGACCAUUUAACGCCAUUUUGGCGAACUCUGAUUCCGGCAUUCUCAUAAAGCACCGGGUUUUGGCUCUUUAGAAACGGUUCAAAUACUCUUCGACUGUUUCACUUGACUUUUGUCGGUAUAAAGUCAAGUCGGCAACCGAUAAUUGUGGCUCCGACCUAUAGAAUUGCUCAUGAAAUUUUCUUUCCAAUUCGUCCCAAUCUUGGACGGAAUUAGCUCAUAAACUUGUAUACCAAGUAAACGCCGUUUUAGUUAACGACGUGUUAAAUAAUCGAAGUUUCAAAAAUAAGUCAGCGGCCGCUUCUCUACAUUGGGCCCUGAACCGGGCUAUAUGCUCGACCGUAUUCUCGGUCUCAUCACCCGAGAACUUGUCGAAUUUCAGGAUUUUCCAGUUUGCCGGAAAUGGAUGCUCUACGUCGAUGUUCGCGGGAUAAGGAGAUCUAAACACAGGCCGCAUUGCCGACCUUGCUCCAACUCUGAAAGUAUUUCAUAUGGCUUCUUCAAUCUGUGCGUAUAUUUCAUUAUUGUUCCCCUGCAAAAAAACAUGUGCUUGUACUAUAUUCGGUCCUUGCGAUAAACCGAAAUUCGGCAUAAUAGUGUUAACUCCUUGCAUAUUCGGAGCCUGCCCGCCAGCCCUUACGCCCAUGUUUUGGAGCUGGUAAGCUUGUAAAGGAGGUAAACCCAAUGCCAUCUCCGACUGCGGGCCGGCGUUUAUAUUCGCCGGCCUAUAAGCAGCCUGGAAAGCUGCCAUUUGCGGUUGCACCUGUAAGACCGCCAGCGUGAUAGGAUUUUAUUGCAUCGGCACAUUUAGGGGGUCCUGUUGCCCCCCGUAAGGUUGCUCAUUUCGGUAAAUAACUGUCUGAUUUGAACAAUAUUUUUAUUGUAGGCCGUGAUGGCGGCCGGCACCGUGUCUAGUUGAGCGGUACUUUGAUGGAUAUUUUGAUCUAUAGUUUGCAAGACUCGGGUCAUAUGGCCGAGUGCCUGAGUUAGACUCGGCUCUUGAUGAGCCGACUGUUGACUAGUCUCUCCUCCAACAGGUAGUACCGCCUGAUUCUCAUUCGCAUUUUCGGCGCUACUAGCUUGGUCAUUCCCUGAAGGCCUGGGAAUGGCUCUAUUCCGAAGGUUCAUAGCAUUAUCGUCAGCCAUAGGACAAAGUCUAGAUUGGGAAUACCUGAGUGUGUUCCACCGUGCGUGCCAAAAAUUAUUGCGAGCCGAACGUCCUUAUCUUUGACUCGGUCAAAGAUCUCCCUCGACAAGCGUGCAGGGAUGUGGAACGGCUAUAAACAGUGACCCUCGAAGUUUGCGCUCUUCGAUUGGAUCAAGCGAUUCGACUGACGAGGGAUCGGAUCAACCGAGUUCAAAGACUCUACUAUAGAUUCGGUUCGGCUGGAUGAGCUGAAUGUACGGACUGUACAAAAGCUAAGGUCGGCCGAAGAGCCGAAUGGAUGAAAAACACAGUAAUUGGUCGGCUGAAAGAGCCGAAUGCGUUUAUAUAUUAAAAUGAAGUUGGGAACUCAUACAAAAUAGAGUGUGCCCAAAAGGCAUACAGACUCUGAAAUUCUAGAUUACAAUAGAGUGUGCCCAUAGGGCAUACAGACUCCAAAGAUUUAACUUAAAAAUUACUCCUAGGAAAGCAAUAAAUGCGGGUAAAAAAGAUUACAUGUAGACUACUCCUAGAAAGCGAUAAAUGUAGGAAAGGAAAGUAUUAAAAAUGCGGUGGUCUUUUCGUUCAGGGGAGAGAAAGACCCCUUUUAUAGGCUUCAAAGUUACUAUUUAUAAUAUCUUAUCAGCCCACAUUAUUAGUUGGUUAUAGUAGUGGGGGAAGUGGUGUAGCCAUGAUCAUGGAAGUUACACCCCACUUUUUAUGGAAGUUACGCCCCACUUCUCAACCGUUCCCGCCUAAACGCUCUUGACCUUCAAGCGUCUUAUUGCCGACUCCUGGUGUACCACGUGUCCUUAUUUCUUUGGCUCAUUCGUGGGUUAGGUCGGCAUAUUAAUUUUUUGAUAUCAACAAUUCCUAAUCUCUACUAUGAUGAAGCUUUCUAAUAAACUAGAGAUUUAGGAUGGGUGAUUAGAAAAGAGAACCAAAGAAUUAACAAAAAUCAGGUUAUAGUUUCUCUCUCUAGGGAGCUGCAGUUUUUUUGGAGNGGAAGAAGAUAGGCUUCCAGAUGAAAAGGCUCCAAAAUAGUUAAGAAAAGUUCCACCUUACCCUAGAAGAAAUGGUCUAUUUAUAUGCUAGAGCCUAAAUAGGUCAAUCCAUAAGUGACCACGUUGUCUGGACUUAGGUAAAAUCGCUUCUUAAGCCCAUACGGUGCUCAUCUUCCUUCACAAAGUGAGCAAGCCUAUCUCUCCACUUGCUAGCUCGAACCUAUUCGUCCUAUGACUAAGUGCAAAAGAGUGAGAGUUUGGAGAAAUGUAGUUGCUACUACUUGAGAGUAGAAAGAGUACACCUGAGCUAUCCUAAAGAGGUGGAGGCCAUAAAUAUCUAUAGGCCACUUAGCGCCUAAUAAAGCAAAUAGAAAGGCACCAAGUGGCGCAAAGUUGCAAGCAAAAAUUGGAGGCUAUAAGCUCCCAACGGUGUAAAUUUGUUACGUCUUCUAGAAAGGCUAAGGGACAUAUGACUCUUCGGCUUCUAGCAGAUGCUUCUUACGACUCUGCCAAAAUCUUUGGUGGCAAUCUUCUUUGGAGUUGGGAUGAUUACGAAGGAGUAAACUAGUGGAAAAUUCAAAAUCCCUAACAAAGUGUGAGUCAGCUGACCAGCAAGCUACUAUUAAGUUGUUUCAUUCAAGUUGAAACAACUUUCUAGUAAUCAAUUGUCCUUUUAGAAUAGUCCAUGGCAAUGUGCUUGUCAUGUCUAGGAUUUGCAGCGAAAGCCGUCAGGCACGUAAACAGUCCCGCCGGAUGCAAAAGACACACACCGUACACCCGAAGUGAAUAGCAAUGACCUGUCAACAAUCCUAGAAGUCCACUAGUAAAUAGGCAUUAGAGUGUGUAAAAUAAGCAACAAGUAUAGCAACAUAUAUAAAUAUCCGCUAUCUGAUAACAUCAACAUCAAAUACAUAUAUACAUAAUCUCCAAUAACCAAAAUAUUAAUACAAACAAACCCAGCACUAUCCUCGUCAAAACAUCACAUCAUGCUGCUAUACAAACAUUUUCUACAGGGGCUUCCUUUAAAUGUCAUAUAUAUGGUAGAUAAUGCUACCUAGCUCGUCCUCCCCUUACCUCAAUCUAUAGUUGCAAUUGGUGCUGAAGGCUUUGAAAGAGAAUCAACAAAAAAGAGCGUGAGAACUAUAAUCAAUAGUUCCUAGGGGUAUAGUUGACGACAACGACGACCUACGCUACUAGGUCUAUCAGAGGCAAGAGUAGUAAAUGAACUGUAAAUUAGUAAGUAAUAGAGCAUAAUAUGAACAGAAAAAUAAAGAACUAUCAUACCUCUAUUUUUGUUUGUGGAAAUUAAUGGAUAGUAGUCAUAUCUCCACUGUCAUAUCUCAAGAAUAGUAAACAAAUAUCAUGUGUCAACUAAGGAAUCUCAUAGGCAAAUCAUAAGACCCAAUCACACCAGCUGGCUCAUAGGUCUGGCCAAGCUUGCGCCACCAUAUGACUGGUAAUCACACUUACCUAGUGGCCUCGCCUGUAUGCGUACACCUAGCACAUCUAGUCAGUCGCCACAGCUCCGAAGGGAUACUCGUGGGGCACGACCCUACUGAGUAUGACAAUAUAUCUUAUCGCUCGUAACUAAUCUCAAUCCAGCUCAAGGCAGGCUAUGGUCAUGUAAGAUGAUCAAACAGAUCAUAACAAUAUUAUCCAAGUGUCCUCAGUCAUCAUCGUAUACCCUAUGCCCCACUAUCUAUUUGUAAUCAUUUUAGCAAUUUAUAGAUUUUUUAUGUAUCACAGUAUCUCAACAAGAAUGAUAUGUAAUAGGGGUAAGGAAUGUCAGCUCACCUAAACAUCACACCAUCUAUAUCACGUAAUCUUAGAUAUAGAUACAUGGAUAUACAAGAAGUAAACAACUACAAAUAUAGUGAUGCUAAUAGGUAUUAAAGAAGCAUAAUAUGUAGGGAAUAGACAUAAUGAGUAGUUCACCGUGUUCGGUGACAUGGAACCCACCUAAAUCAGCGUUUCCAAAGGAAAUCAAGGAGCACCAGUAUUUCACAAAAUUACGACAAAAUCAACUCCUAAAACGUAGUUUUAUCAUUCUCAUUAUUGCGAAAAUCACAGCUAUAAAAAUUGCAAUCGAAAUACAAUUCAUAUUUUACCUAGUGAAUGGCGUUUAUGAAUUUGUCGUGUCGAAAAUGAACUCACAAAGGGUUCUUUCUUUCUCUUUCUUCCUCUCUCUACCUUCCUCACAUUCUCUCUCUCUCUGCAUGCCAAACAGAAAAAAGCCCUCAACCAAGUUUUAUAAUGUAACAAUUGCAUAUAAGUUCUCAAAAUUGCCAAAUUUUUAUUUUCAACCAAAAUCUACUAUUUCAAUGCCUGAUUCCACGAUUCGGGCGUCCGAAACCUUCUGCUCAAGCCCUUUCGGACACCCCCUCAUGCACCCCGUCAUCCGGAAUCCAUCUCAAGAAUGCCAAAUUACUUUCCUGUUGCCUGAUUCUUGCGCCCAAAACUUAAUAAACUACGUACUUUGAUGAGUCAGUACGCUGAAUCACAACUCACCAAUUUAAUCACCAACAAAUUUUCGAUUGCCACAGAAAAAUCGGGCAUCCAUAAUUAGGGCCCGAAUCAUAUUUGGAUGCUCCCUUAGCAAAAUUGGGCAUACACAAAGUAGGGUCUGAAAUCAUCUUAACCCAAAAAGUACUUCCGAGUGCCCUAACAAACUUCCCAGGGCGUCCACAAAGUGGUAGAAACUUCAAAUUCACCCAGAAUUUGAUUCCAUUUUCAUGUCAGUUUCGUACCAAAACAAGUCUAAUUUGGUCCAAUAUUUUAAAGACAUACUGUUAAGCAAUCCAAACUAUAACUUUAUCAAUUUGCCAAAGUCCAGUAUAUUAUAGUAUUAUUCACAGUUUGUGAAAAACACAUUCUUUUAAUCAAUCCAAACUGUAACUUUGUCAAUUGAAUUUGAUUGUCGAAUUAGAAUUUUAGUUCUGAGCCCAGAAUCUGACCGUUGACAUCCCUGCAGGAGAUGCCAAACACGGGUCUGGAACAAUUACUCGGCAAUUAAUGGCCCCCUCCUUCCACCUAAUUACCAGACACAUCACAAAACCAUUUUAAUUUCCCCCUUAAAAACUAAAAAUAAAAAUAAAAUAAUUUUUUUUAAAAAAAGGAAACCAUUGUCCUUUUGUCUUUCUCUUCUAUAAAUUAUUUCUCUUGUGAUCUCUCUCUCCCUGCUGUGGAAUCCCCCAAAAGGGUCCUUCCAAACUGAUCAGAUAUUAUUUAAUUUAUUAUCUUUUUGGACCUCGUCCACCACAUUAAUUGAAUCUACAUUAAUCUACAAUUUAUGUGAAAUAAUGUACUAUUAAUCCAAUAAUUUAAAUUAGGAGAAAAUAGUUAGGUUCUGGCCGGUCGUGCACUAUAUUAAAUGGAAUAAGAUUACAUUUCGCAACCAAAAAUAUAUAUAGUUUCAUUGAAUUCGACCUCAAUUAGGAUCAACAAUGUGCUCUUUUGUUAUUCUUUUGUUAUGUUGAAAUCACGAAUUUCUGCAACAUUAAAGCUAGGUAUUUUAAUAGUGUAUGAAAAAUAAAGAGAUACAUUUGAUACUGGAGAUUAAAAAUAAGGUAAAAGAUAAAAGUGUAUGAAACCUAUCGAUCCGAGAACUACGGAACAUUUGAAUUUGGCCAUUCAAUUUUUUAAACUUUUGAUUUUUAACGGCACUUUAAUUUCAAAAAUUUAAAUGCAUCGUUUAUCUUUACAUAUUCAGUAUAUUAUGCAAUUUGCACAAUUAUAAUUAACUAUACUAAAGUAAGUAAUUAGUUUAAAUUUUAGAGUAAAAGUGAUUUGGCUGAUUCAAAAUCAAAUAAUUAAAUUGAAAGAUUAGAUAAUAAAAUCAAUUUUUUUUUGAAAGGUCGUACGGCUAAAUCCAAAUUAUAUAUAAUUCAGAUAAGUUCCAUAUAUAUAUUUUUACCCAAAAAUGAAGAUAAAAUGGAAGACAUAUAUAAUUAUAAGUAAUGUGUGGUCCAUGACUAAUUACAUGGGAGACAAGAAGUCCAUGAAAUCUCUAAAGUCCAAUUACUCGAGCCAAAAUCCUAGUCCAUGCAUGCACUCUCCAUGCAAUUAAUUUCUGCAAAUGUCCCUCCCUUGUCCUACUCUUCUCUCCUUGCACCUCAUGAAGUCCCCAAUAACCACCAUGCCUUUUAUACUUCUCUCUCUCUCUCUCUCUCUCUCUCUCUCUCUCUCUCUCUCUCUCUCUCUCAAGGAAGAUCUUUCUCUCACAUCAUUUUCCUUUUCCUUCUCACUCCCUAUCAUCAUCCCCUCCCAAUCUCCUUCACAAAUGGGUAUUCUCCUAAAAGGCACAACUCCAGUGUUCCUCCUCCUCCUCCUCCUCACCAUCUUGAACUCAUCUUGCUGUGGUGCAAGAACCAUGGGCACCCUCAACGCGAGGCCGGCCGCUGCGAAGAACAGCUCGGGGGCCUACCUCGGGUUGCUACCGAGGGCGAUCCCGAUCCCUCCUUCGGGCCCGUCGAAGCGACACGACUCCGUUGGGGCGCAGAGCCAUAGAUCACCUUAGAGGAAGGUGGCGUGCAUGCCUGCAGCUAGCCGGCUGCUGCAAGGGAAGUCAUUCGAUCAUUGACUUUGGCGCUUCGUGCUGAAAGGCGCACUAACAAACUAAGUGCACCGCACGCAAAGGUUUAAUACGAGUCUUGUAUCUCACUUUCUGUAAGAUCUAUACCUAAAUACAUAGUUGGCAAAACUUAGUUACUUUACAUUUAUAUAUAAUACUGAAAUGGCAAUGUGAGAAAUAUGAAUCAAAGCCUUCAUGUUACAAUUUGUUAGUGCACCUUAGCUGAUUCUCGUUUUAAUCAUAAUAUAUUCUACAUAUAUAUAGUUGAUUUCUUCCACAAUUAGGGUUUUUUUUUAAUUUUAUUUCGAUACAAAUAUGGAAAGCUUACCUGAAUUAUGAACUAUUUUGAAUUGACAGUGCAACCAUCCCCAAUUUUGAUUUUACUAUUCAAUAUUCAAUUUGUUUAAUUUGAGUUAGUAACGAUAUUUUAGUAUACUUCACGCAGUUUUCGUAACUAUAAAUUCAUUAAAUUAGGCAAGUAAUUUAUAUUUUGAAGUCAAAAUGAUGUUGAUUGACUCGAAUCAAAAAAAUUAAAAUAUUAAAUAGUAAAUUAAAAUUUUAAAAAAUUUAGUAGUCAAUUCAAAAUGAUCCAUUGAUUAGAUAAGUUCUACAUAUUGUUACUCCUUUUUUUUUUUCAAAUCUCAUUCUUUAGAUUGCCUACCGUUUCUACCAUUCACAUCGAUGGUCUUAGAAUUCAGGAGCCUUCAUCCUGCAGCUUCUCUAGCCAUGUCCUAUUACUAUAUAUAUAUAUAGAGAGAGAGAGAGAGAGAGAGCAUGAAUUAUAUACUUUUAUGAGUGCGAAGUUCUUCAUACUUAUAAGUUAUUUUUAUUGAUAGAGCUUCAAAAUUGACGAUUCAUACUAUUAAACAUGAUAUAGAGUAUUUGAAACUUUUAAAAAAUAAAUUUUCUAAUUUUUAAAAAUUAUAAUAAAGUAGGCAAAAAAUAAUCAAUUAAAAUCGAAUAACCUCCUGAAAAUAGAAAAAUUGGAUUCUUUAAUUUAAUUUCGGAGCUAUUGAUCUCUAUCUAGAUAGUGAACGAAAUUUUCUAUCAAAAAUACAAUCGAUUCUAAUUCUUUUGUACCAUUAAACUCACAAGCAUUCCAUAUGGACCGUUAAAAAUUAUCAAUUUUGAAAUUUUUUAAUCAUAAGGUAAAUGAUAUCAAAAAAAUAUAAAAUUUAAUUUCUAAAAAAGUCAAAUACUCCUAAUCAUAUUUAACAUUAUUGAACGUCAAUACGAAAUUUCUAUCAUCGAAAAUAUCUUUUAAGUAUGAAAUUGAUAAUACUCAUAAAAGUACAAGAACAGAACUAUAUAUAUAUAUAUAUAUAUAUAUAAUUAGGCUGGAACACUAUUAAUAGUAAAACACUCUUUUUGCUAUCAAGUUUUUAACCCUUGGAUGAAAAAUUGUAGGGUCAGGAUGAUAUUAGUCAGUUAGAGUUGAGUGGUCCCCCUAGGGUUGAGUGGUCCCCACUGGGUUAUAGUAUUUAAUACAAUGGUUAGAAAUAAUUAAAAGAGUUGAUCCAAAGGUUAAAAAACUGGUAGCAACAAUGGGAUUUUGCUACUAAUAGUAACCCAGUUCAACUCUAUAUAUAUAUAUAUAUAUAUAUAUAUAUAUAUAUAUAUAAUAUAAAUUAUAAUAGAUACAGUGCUACUUGCUCUCAAGCACUAGGCCUCUCGUGCUCCUGAGUCGUUUUCGAUAUGGAUUUUCAAACGACACAUCGCUCCGUUAAACCCUGAUCUAGCGAUUUAACGUUUCUCUAGAAAAUAAUUUUGCGAUUUUCGAAUCUAUUUACCUAUCAAUCGAAAGAUCAAUCAAUAAUUUAAACUGCUGAAAAAAAAUCCUAUAAAAUGGUAAUGUCACUAAAUUUUCGAUUCAGAAAUAAGACUGUAUAGAUAGUAUAAAAGAAUUUCUAUUCGAAAAUUUCAUCUGAUUUAAUACUCUAAACACCGUUAAACUUGAAAACGGCCAGGAUAUCCAACCAUUUAAAAAUUACAGAUUGAAUCCUUUUCGAUCAACUAGGUAAUAUGAAUAUCGAAAAAUCUGCUACAAAAUAUUUUCUAAGAAAAACUUCAAAUAGUCGCUAGAUCAAGUCAACUAGUUCCGAUGCGUCGCAUUCGAAAAUUCCAUCAUUCGAAAACGGCUCAGGACUAACGAAGCCUCAUGCUCCGAGAGCAGCAGCAGCCCUAUAUAUAUUACAAUAAUAAUAUAUAUAUAAUAAUAUAAAAUAUAUACAUAAUAUAGUACUAUAUAUAUUUACUUAUUAUAUAAAUAAAUAUAUAAUACGUCUAUAUGAGUUCUGCUACAUGCUAUGAAUAGCACAAGCACUGGUGCUACCAAGUUCCAGCCAGUUAGAAUCACCAUUGAAUCAUUUUCAUUCCGGUUAAUCAGAACUAUUCACCAACCACCAGAUUUCUCCACCAACCCUAGGGCACAUCAAUCCAAACCGCACCAUCUCUAAUCCAUGCCAAAAAACUUGAGCACCAAUACUCGGUGUCUAUAAUAGCAUAGACAGUUCUAUAUAAAUAUAUGUAUAAAUCAUAUAUAGAAAGAGAGAGAGAGAAGAGAAGAGAGAGAGAGAAGAAAACCUAAAUUUCAGAAUUUAUUCGACAUCAAAUUUGACCCUCAGCGCCCAACCCCACCCUACCUCCUCAAAAAUUGGACAAAUUUUAAUGGCCGAUGUGUUGUUUUGAGAGUUUAACGUGUAAAAUAAUUCAAAUCCGUAAAAUUUAGAGAAAAUUCAUUUAACUAUUAAGUAAGUUCAGUAUCAUUGUAUCUGAAUUUAAAUCUUUUAUUAUAUUUUUAUGAGACUUUAUUUCAAACCGUCAAAUUUUUAAAGACAUUACAUGUUUGAUAGGUAAAUGGUAUCGAAAAAUUAUGAAAUUUAAUUUCUAAAUAUUUUUAAUAGUGUAGAUCAAGUCUAACGGAGCCGAUCAUCGAUUUGGAAAGCUGCAUCAUCGAAAAUAACUUGGUAGCACGGAGCGCUUCGUUCUAUAUAUAUAUAUAUAUAUAACAACGAAGAGACCCUUGAAACUUCGGAUACCAAUCAUUAAAUUUUUUGCUACAUACGCUACACAAUAUAUUCUUAUAAAAUACUAGUCAAUCUUGCAGGCGGUGUAUUCUUAUAAAAUAUUAGUCAAUCUUGCUUUUAAUAAGAUUUCUCAUAAAAUGUUAUUUUCCUUGCACUCAUUUUGACAAAUAUAUUUGGAAAUGUAUUCACGUUAGAAAAAAAAAAAAAAAAGAAAAAAAGAAAAAAAGAAAAAAAGAGUAAUGAUGCAUGUCCUCCCUCUUCUUUUCCGUCCUAUGAGAAGAAACAAUGGGAUUGGGGAAGUGUCAACUUCGUAUUAAACCAUGCACACUCGCACAUUAUUACAUAUAUAGUAUAUAGCAUACAUUUUUCCCUUGUUUCGCUGUGACAUAAUCAAUUUUGUAGUGCUCUCGUACUAUAGGUUGUUAUUUGAUAUUUGGGACAGUUCUUUAUUAUUUUAAUCUUUUGUACCAUGCGCAUUUGAUGGAUUAAAUUUUCAUACAGGGCACGCUCUUGUAACCGAAAAUCCAGAUGGAUAAGAAGGUCAUUUUCGCUUGUAAAUGUUCACUUAUGCUAUUUGAUUUAUCGUAAAUUAAAUUCAUCUAUGAUUUAAAUUUUUUUAAAACAUCAUAGUCGACUUCGUUCUAGGUGGUGCAGAGGUAAACUGCAGAAGAAAAAGAGGUAGAAAGAAUAAUAAAAAAUUGACUAAAUGUAACCAUUUUUUUCAUCGUGCUAUUUUCAAAACUUUCAUAAUGAAUAAAAAAUUAAGCGAAAUAAUUGCAGAUUCAGAACUAUGGACUUUCUAUCGAACAAAUAGUGGUGAAAAAAAAAAUCAACUGAAAAUUAUGAAAAUCACUUACCAGCGAAUGAACAAGCCCUUAAAAUUCAAAAAGUUAAAAAGUUUAGUCUUAUCUAUUACUGUAAGCGAGCGUAGCAGUACCGGAAAAGCUGUAGGUCACGCAACCAUUAACAUUUGUACGCGAAAAAAGAAAUAAUUGGAUUAAACGCCAUUAACAAGGCUAACAAGGACAACAAAGGAAACCCCAAACCUUUAUCUUCAUCUAUCAUGCAAUGUUUGGUAGAAAUUUCUGAGAACACGACAAAUUUCCGUACCAGCCCGCUUAAUAGCAUCCAUUUUCAUGUAGCACACGCAACAUGUAAUCAAACACAAUACCAAGUACAUACACGAUGUAAUGCUGGCUAGAAAAUUUGCUGUUCUGAAAAGAAUCCAAAUCUCGCAACCCGGUAUGGCAUUUAAUAAUACACUAAGGAUGCGUUUGGUUCGCGCUAUUUUUUAAAAAUUCCUAGUAAUCCAAUGAAAAUAAAAAAAUAUGACGGUGUUUGAUUAAACGCAUUAAGUAAUCUAGUUGGUAAUAUUAGAUUCACUUGGGAAUAAGAUUCACCCCAAAGUACUAAUCUCAUUCCCUUAAGGGAGGGUGUGUAUCCUCAUAUUAAUGAAUUGGGGUAAUCAUAAUAUGUCUAAUCUCUUUCUUUCUUCUUAUCCGCCGGCUAAUUGAUAUUAUUUUUCUUUACACUCCAACCUUAUAUCUCUCUCUAAAUUUUUUUCUCUCUAAAAUUCAACUUUUUUUUCUCUCUCUAAACUAAGCUUUCUCUCUCUCUCUUUUUCUAAAAUUUCAACUCUCUCACUCCCUCUAAUUUCGACUAUAUUUUUCUUUCUAUUUUUUUAAUUAUGCUCUCUCUCUCUAACUUAUACUCUCUCUCCCUUUUUUUCUAAAAAGAUGUUGAAACUUUUAGUAACAUUAUCUAAAAUUAAAUAAAUAAAUAAAUUGUAUAUUUUUUGUAAUAUUAAAUAACAUGGCUAAUUAAUAUUACCGUGCGAACCAAACACAGAAAUUCCACAUUCUUAGUAAUAGGAUAAAUAGGAAUAAGAUUCUCGGAUAUCUUUUAUUCCUAGUAAUCUUUCAUAAUGCGAACCAAACGCACCCUAAAGUAUAUUCCGAGUCGCUACGACAUACUUAAAUACCUAGUAUCACAUUAUGUAUAUACCGUAAAGAGUCAUCCCAUCGGAGGAAAAAAAAAAAAAAAAAAAAAAACAUAUACCCACAUACCAAACGAGCCCUAAGCUCUUCUCUACACCACCAUUUCCUUUCUCCAAUCAGAGAUUCCAACCAUUCCACAUUGGAAGUAGAAUGCGAGGCAUUUUCCCUUGCGAAGAUCAAAUGUUCAGCUGCUUUAGCAAAACCAUGCAAGAAAUUCAAUGAAUGGUGUUAUUUACCCUCAAAAAGGAGAAAAGCUUUGUACUUGUCUGCCUGUAGGUUGUUCGGUAGACCUUAAGACAUUGUGGCAUACAACAGGAUACCAGAUAAAGCUGUAAAUGAACAUGGUAAUCAACAAACAAAGCAUACUCUAUAAGCGCGCGCGCACAAACAUAUACACAGGUCCAUAAUUAACUGAAGGCACCUUUAAAAUGUAGAAAUAACACCAAGAACACCGAGCAGGUAGCUCAUUAGCAAACAGUUAAGGUUAAUCCAAUGCAGAAUACAUUAUUAGGAUCUCAAUAAAGUACAUUAUUUUGUUUAAAAUACUACUUGAACACCAGAUGAAGCAAGAAGGUAGAAGUAAAAACAUUGCACUUUUAUGCAACUUCACUGCUACCGAUAAUUUGAUUCACACAUCCGAGCAAACCACGUAGGUAAAAUGCCUCUGGGCCAUUUUUCAGCCCAACAAAAUGGGAAGAAAGCCAAGUAGAUAUCAAGCAGAAUGACAUGACCUUGUAAGAAGAAAUGGGAAGCGAUAGCAGUAUCUAUCAAGUUUCAACUUGAUAAGUGAUACGAAUGAAUCAUAGCAAAUAGCAUACAAGAUCUAAGAAAUUUAAUUGCUAGAAGCACACAUUACCACACAAAAAACAUUAACAAACUACUACAAGAAAACAUUAAACAAGCACACAUUCUCCAGGAGCAUAUAUAAACCAAAGCAAAAUACUGCAAAAUCAACUAUAUUAUUGCUGAUUAAAAGCAUCACCACAUGUAGGCACAGAAUUAUCAGAAUGAAGUUAGGCGACUGAAACACAUUCUUGUGUUGUGUAGAAAGAGAUUCGCAUUUCAGUUUGGAACCACAAAGAUCAGCCUCCUAUUGCAGGUCAGUGUCUUUUAUACUCUCACGAAUUUAGGACAUUAGUAAGGAUGAAAACCCAGAGCCCAUACUUUCCAGCUGCUCAUACAAAGGACCAAAGGUAGUGAUCAUCAGGACAGAACGAAUCCGGCAACAAAAGAGCCAAAUUCUCCAACUAUGGGAAGUAAGGAACUAUGAACUAGUUUGGGAAUACUUUAGCUAACACAGCAGCCUUAUGUUUUAGAGCUCCAAAAAAAUAAGAAAGCACUUUUGAGCUCCACUUUUCCAAUUCUACGAAUUGGUGGUGCUUCUUAGAUAGCCCGACCACCAUCCCGUAUUAUUGGAAGAGUGCGAACCUCUAACAAAGCGCUUCCCAUUUAUUUCGAAGCUCAAAAGCACUGAACCGUUACUUUAGGGAAGCACUCCCAAACUAGGUCUGAAUGCCGAGCAAGCAACUCAGGAACGAAGUACACAGGCUUGAUAAGAGAACUUUGGAUUGCAAGGGCUACUUUUUCCAGUACCAUGGGAACAAAAUAUAGAAGGAACUGUGUCACAGAAACAAUGUUUGCCGAGGCUCUCAAGGAUCUUGAUAAAAUUCUCAGGCUGCAUUACUAGGAUUGAAAUCCAGCUUGACGCAAUAGAUAAAGUUUCGAUCAACUAUCAGUGCUUAUUGAGUUACGGGCAAUUGUCAUCUUGGAAAAUGUCGGGCAGAAAUAGGCAGAAACCAUGUCCAAACAGUAAAGCAUUAGAACUAGGUAAGCCAAAAUCAUAGCCUGCCAAAAUGUUUAAGACAACCAUUAUUACUCAAGGGAUAAGAAAGUAACCAAAAACUAAGGCAAAAAACAAAAGAUAAAAAAUUACCAGGCUUUUCUUCCACAAUGAUGGGGUUCAAAGCUGCAUUUUGGAGAGAGCUAAACACUGCUGAGAGAAAGGGAAACCUUCUCUUUUACAGAUAUUUCUCUAAGGCAGUCCAAAAUGAAUCCCAUUCAUUGAGGUGGUCAUACCACUUGGUACCCCAUAGAGACCCAGCGAGAAAUUUACGAAGGAUCCAAAAAUCGACGCACAACGUAGCACGAAAUCAUCCAAAAUCCAACACCAACAGUGACAUUCAAAUAUUCAAAGACCAAAAGCCAGUAGCAGGUCACAGAAAAAGUGUAUGGCACCAGAUCAAAACACAAUUCUAAGGUAACAAUCACAUCUGAACCGGCAGAAUCCAACCAAGCCCCCUUGGAUCAAAAGGUCGACAUGCCUGGAAAAUCCACCGUAGAACACUGAAAGCAGAAAGCAAACUGAAAUAGGGAACUAGGUCCAUCGCUGUAAGAGCACCAGAACGGCAUUUUCUCUUGGCUACAAAAUUUCAAGAAAAGAAAAUAACACAAUAAAUAUUGAGAAAACUAUAUGCAUCACAACAAUAAUAGAUGCUCUGUACCUGACUAAAUUAGCAUGCACCAUUAACGGUAGCCUCCUCCACUGGGACGUUCAUAUGGACCGGACCUAUCACGAUUGUAUCGAUCCCCUCCCCCACCGCGGCCCCCACCAUCCCUAUUGCGCCCAGAAUACCUUUCACCGCCACGGUCAGGUCCAUAACGACUGUAACCGCCGCCGCCGCCGCCGCUGCCGCCACCAUACCUGUCAUCUCUACUAGCAUAUCUGUCCCCUCUUCCACCAUCCCCAGAUGGGCACUCCCUGGCAAAAUGGCCAGGCUUGCCACAUUUGAAGCACUCUCCACCAUUUGAUCCACGCCCCCCACCACCAAAGUCACGGCCACGAUCACGGCCACGACCACGGUCACGGUCGCGGUCACGGCCAUAAUCACGGUCAUCACGGUCACGUCCAGGUCCUUGUGGCUGAGCUCUGUCCACAGUGAUAGACCUUCCAUCUAAAUCCAUACCAUUCAUGGCUUCAAUGGCUUCUUCCAUGGCUUUCUUGUCAUCAUAAGUUACAAAGCCAAAACCGCGAGAUCGACCAGAGAAUUUGUCGAGAACGACCUACAGAUCGACAGAAAGGAAUGAAAUGGGAUCUCAACCGAAUGCAGCAAGAACCCCAAAAGAGAUCAAGCAGAUCCAUUGUUCCAACAAAAUAAAUCUAAUUGAUGUGUCUCUAAUUUUAGAGCUCAACGUAUGUAAAAGAAAAAUAAAAAGAUCAAAGCCAGCUUGGAUGUUUGGAUGAGUAUUCCAGUGAUAACCUUUGUAUGAAAAUUUUCUCUUGCAAUAACUACGUAGCAUCUUGAUUCUCAGCCAUUGUGAACUCUUAAUAGUUCCAUAAAUCAGGACACUACACUCCAUCUAUGAGAUAAUUCAUUGUACUCCAACUCUCCAAGGAAGAUGUAGAGAUAGUAUCUAUUAUACAGUUAUAGAUAUCUUUGCGUACUCUCCAUCAACUAUUCACUACAUGCCAUUUGAGUAAACACAAGAAAUAUACUGACCAAGAAAUUCAUGCAUCCAAAAAGGCCCCAAGCAUCAAUUCUGUGCAACUUAUUAUUAGAAAUUUGAAAUACAAUUGAGUAGAAGCGGAUAAAAAGAAAUAUAUGAUGUGCUUAUAUAGUUUAAUGACACCAAGCACAAUAUUUUUCUUUUGUUCAUGAAAAUUUGUGAGUAAUAUAGUCAUAGUUAUCCACGGUUAUAUAGGAGGCGUUUGGAUUGACGAAUCUGUAGAUCCAACGUAAAUUAAGUGCAGUGGUGUUUGAGUUUCCCUUAAAUGUGAUUAUUUUUUUGUUAUUUGUUUUGGCAUAACUCGUACAGUCUGAAAGUUAAAUUCAAUUACUUCUUCUGUUUGUUUUAAUGUAACUUGGUGCUGGUAAAAUUAGUUUUUUGAGUUCCGUUGUUUGUUUUGAUGUAAGUAAGUGGAUCCCGUUCUCUCCUACAUAUAGUGGUAAAUUUACCACUAUGAAAUUUAACCUAUUAUAUAAUUAAAUUCUUUAUUAUUAUUUAAAGGUAAUCCUAAUUUAUUAUAAAUAAGGUAAUUCUAACCCAUUAUAAAGGAAGUAGAGUUUAGGUUUUACUAUUUAAUAAAUUUUUUUGAGAAGCUUGAGUGUGGCGGAAGUCGAAUUCGGCACUUUAGAGGAGGAAGUCGAGAGUAGGUGAAGUGGAGGUCUAACGUAACUUUAGUUAUAUUAUAUUUUUGACUUACACCAAAACAAAUAACGGAAGUUAUGGAACUUGAGUUCCAUCACUCUACUUACACCAAAACAAACAGACCCAUAGUGUUGUAGACCACCAAACAAGAUUAGUAAAUGCCUUAGCAGAAAAAGAGGCACACGGUAGUAGCCUAAUUUUUGCAGGCACACCAUAUACAAGAGGCCAUGAAGGAUAUACUACCCCUUACUUUGAGCAGUUCUAUGGAAAGUACAAUAAUAACACUUGGUGGCGAAAGAAAUUGCAGCAUGUUUAUGCAUGUUUGCAUAUAUUUAUACGUGCUGAAAGACAAACAUUACGAAAUGUGAAGUUUAAAACAAAUUAAAGAGAAAAGGCCAGCUAUCGCAUGAUCUUCAAGUAAAUCCUGUAUGUUACCUUCGCCUCAGUUAGGUGGCCGAAUUUGCCAAAUGCAUCCUUCAAACCUGAAUCAGUUGUUGACCAGGAAAGGCCCCCAAUAAAACAGCGGUACUCCUCACUAUCUGACAUGUUUCAACUAAAUAAUCUGCUGGCAAAAAACAACCAUUAAAAAGGAUAAGAUGUCGCACCUCAUAGAAAAGUAAAACCGACUUAGCUAAUAACAUCCAACAUCAAAAAGAAAGUUGAAAUUAUCAUCAGCAACUUACAAUUGUUUUAACCAAAAGUGAGUUGACAACAUACUAUCACAGUUGGCAUUGGAAACCAACAAUAGUUACUCAAACAUCUAAAACCAACUGAGAUUUUACUACAAAGUUGUAUACAAUCAUUUAGGAUUUUACAUUGCUGCAUUAAAUUCUCAGCCUUCAAAAGGAGGUCCCACCACGGCACGAACAGAUAAAAAAAAUAAGCAAUCAAAUAAUAAGCUACAAUAUAAACCAUUAGAUGUGCAAAAAAAUUAUCAUAACAAUCAAAAAGAAGAAUCAGAGAAAAACACCAUAAGAUCCAGUGGCAACUUUCUUUCUCACACUAACAAAGUAUGUUCAGAAGCCGUGUCUUUGCAUUUGUCAGUACACCCUGGUAUCAAGCAAGGAUUUAAGUGUCAUGGCACGAGGUCGCGCCAGAAACUUACUCGCACAGUAUGGCACGGUGCGUGUCAGGCCGUGCCAAUGCGUGCUGAUCAUAAAAAAUACAUGCAUGCCGACACAUUAUGACAUGAAAUAUUCAUUUUUUUAGCAACACAUAUUCUAACUGUUUAUUAUGCAUCUUUAUCAAAUUUUUUAAUUUUUAUUGAGAAAAUUACUUACUAGUUUAAAGAAUAGAGGGUUUUGAGCUAUGCUAUCGGUAUAGGGGCUGUAUCGUAUCGAUAUCUUGUUGGCACGAUACAACACGGUAGAAAUGGCCCAUGCUGGUGGGCACAUAAAUCCUUGCAAAAUACAUAGUCAUCAAAGGCAAUGUUUUCCCACCAGUAUAAGUCAUUACUAACUUAACAGCGAUUGCACUACAGCUUGACUAGGUUGAAUAAAAUGCUUAUCUUGAGAAAAGAUCAAACAACCAACUCAACAGAUCUCCUUUACUGCCUAUCAAGAACAAUGGCAACUAAAUUUUAACUCCGGUCACAAACUGCUUAUUGCUUUGUAAAACUUAUGAGCACAGAGCGAACACCCAAAAGAAAGCUUGCAAUAUGAUUACAGGUCCUUAGAUUAGCAUUAUUUAAAAAAGUCACGUCAAAUAUUGAGGGCAUUUUCGUUGUUUCAAUAAAUCAAAAUUUUGGCCUAGGGCCUACUAAAAUGUUCUUUUUAGGAUUUGAUCGAUUAUGAAUGGAAUAAACUGAUUUCUUUCCAUAAUCUCGCUCCUAUUCCAUUCUUCUCUUUUCCUCUGCCUUUUUCACAACUAUCUCUUCAAGAAGGUUCAAUUCCAAAAAGUGAUAAAUUAUCCCUAUAGAUAGGGUAAAAAUUGUAUCACAAUAGCUAUUGCAUAAGAAUAAUACACAAUUAUAACAGCACGAAAUACUAACUGAAUGAUAACAGCAACAGGGCACUAUUUCCAAAAAAUUUUUCCAUGUCCAGUUUUGGAAUUACCACCUAAAAUUAGAAUUGAUACAGAUCAAGGUGAAGCAAUCAAGGAUCUCGGAUCGGCACAACCUUCAAAUUCACAUCGCAAUCACAAACCCUAACAUGUUAAAUCCAAAUACCACAAAUUCACAGUACAAUGCAACCAAAUGCUCGGAUCUGAAACCCUAACUAAGAUUCCACAUCACAAACUUGAAGAACAUGAUUAAUUAGGUUAAAUAACAUUAUAAACAAACUAAAAAAUUCAAAAGAACAAAAGAUUCCUAACAAAACAAACAAAAAAUAGAUGAUAAGAAGCAGAUAUAAUCGACGGCGUACGAAAUCAGAAAAAAGAAGAGAAAAAAAAACGAAGUGGAGAUCGGAGACGAUGUGAUCUACCUUGGAAUUAGAUCAAAGUAGAGAUCGAGGUAGAGAUCGAGAUCGAUGGAUUCUUCGCGUCGAAGAAACCCUAGGUUGGGGGAAAGAGAGCCGCGUCGUCGCCUCAAGGAGCUCUCGAUAUUUCCUGUUUGAUAGAGGAUGAGAUUAUAUAUGCCCUAAUCAAUGGCUCACGGAAAUAUCCUAAACCCAGUCCACCACGUCAGCAAAAAAAAAUUCUGGCUUAAAAUGGAUCCCCAAAUUUUAACCCAUUUUUCAUUUUUUAAUUCUCUAACUUUUUUUUUCCCGUAAUUUAUAUUUUUAAUCUUUAAUUAAUUACACCAUUUAUCUCUAAUUUUAUCUGACUUUUAAUUUAAUUCCUAAAUUAUUUUUAAAAUCCAUCGCGUUCGGGUUUGGAUUUUAGGUUUGGAAUCUGAUUCGGGUUCGAAUUUUUGAGAAUCCGCCCCAAAUCCGACCAUUGACAUUCCAAGGUUAGAGACCAAAGGUGGAAUUAUAGCUUUUUUUAAUUCUAUUAGCCGUAAAAAUAAUUCCCGACAUUUUUUACUUCAUUCAGCACCAAAUCUAAAUUGAAUUUAAUAAAUUAUAUAUUAUUCAGAAAUAAAAUUCCUUGUUUCUAUUAAACUAAGUUCAACUGAAUUUAUUUGAUUUUGUUGUGUUAUAAAAACAAGAAAUUAUUUUAAUGUAAUUAUUUUUUUUUUCUAUUUCAUCCUCAGACAUAAUAAAAAGACAUAAUAAGAGAUACAAAGAAGACUAUUUCGGGGUUAUAAAAGCAAAUUAAUUCUCACUAAAUUUGAUAUUAAAUUAUGAAAAUUGGAUGUGAAUUAUUUAUAUUAUAAAAAAUUCUACAAAAUCCUUCCAAAUAACUUAAGUUUUCAUCCCAAAUAAUGGAUUUAACAAAUUACAACUCAAAAUUUUUUUUUUUUUUUUAAGCUCUAGGAUUUGGGUCAGAGAAAGAGGGCUUUCAUGUGAUUUAUUAUAAGCUGGGAACAAUUCAUUACAUAUGUAAUAGGUUUCUAAAAGGACACAAAAUUUUUUACAUCCACCUUUGUUUCAAUCAACUAUAAUUUAUAAAAUUAAAAUCAACUAUAUUAGUAAUUAAUUUCUUUCAAUCAAUUAUUUAAAUCAAUUAAAUUCAUUGUAGAAUGAGAUUCUAAAUAGCACAUUCAUUUGAAUAAAAAGUUUAAAUUCAUUCUACUUGCAAAUACAAAAUUCAUUAAAAUUAUUAUGGAAUUCACAAUAUUCAUUUUUAUCUUGGUAAAUCUCAUGACAACUCAUUAAUAAUACAAAUAUUUUGUGGAGUAAGGCUACUUGCUAUCGGAAGCACAGAGCCUUCCGUGCUUCUAGCUCGUUUUCGAUGUUGCGAUUUUCGAAUCGUCGAUCGACUCCGUUAAAUUUGAUCUAGAGUAUUUGAAGUAUCUAGAAAAUAAAUUAUGCUAUUUUUCGACAUUAUUUACCUAGUGAACGAAGGAGUUCAAAAUCAACGGCUGAAAAUAAAAUUUUUACAAAACGUGAUAAUAUGACUUUAAAAUUUUAGAUCAAAGAUAUUGAUCUUGUUUUAUAUAGUAUAAAGAAUUUUCUAUCAAAAUUUCAUGUGGUUUGGAUAUUUCUACACCGUUAAACUUGCAAACGGCUCACUACGGCCAUUAAAAUUAUUGAUUUUGAGCCCCUUCGAUCACUAAGCAAAUGAUAUCGAAAAAUCAUAAAAUUUAUUUUCUAGGUACUUCAAAUAAUCUAGAUCAAGUUUAACGGAGCCGAUCGACGAUUCGAAAGUCGCAACAUCGAAAACGAGCUGGAAGCACGGAAGGCUCCGUGCUUCCGAUAACACAGUAGCCUCACACUAUUUUGUGUGCAUAUAGUUGUUAAAUAAAAAUUUUAUAAAAACAAUCAGAUAAGUGAGAUGGUCUCAUUCACCGUCCAUCAUAGGGAAUACACGAAUUGCAAAAACAUGAUGAGGCGUGGAGAAAACAAAAUUCAACUUUAAUUAAAUUUUCUGUAAGGAUGUGGACUUAAUGCUUGACUCAGUAGUAGGCCAAUCGGGCUCAUCCGUUACGACAAAGAUUCUAAACGUGGUUAGACCCAGUCAUAGAUUAGACCGAGUCCUCUUAUCGCAGUGGAUUUUCUUUAGCGGGUGUUUGGAUCAGCGAAUCUCUAGUUCCAACGUUACUUAAGUGCAGCAAUAUUUGAGUUUUUUUUUUUAACGUGUGAUUAUUUUUUGAUUGUUUGUUUUGACGUAAUUCAUACAUUUUGAAAGUUGAAUUCAAUUAUUUUUUCUGUUUAUUUCGAUGUAAUUUGGUGCGGGUAAAAUUAGGUUUUUCAGUUUCAUUGUUUAUUUUUUACGAAAAUAAGAGUGAUGGAAAUAAGUUGCCAAAUAGGAUUGAUAGACACUUCCUAUUUGGCACCAUUGAUUGAUUUCUAAUAUACACUUCCUUUUAUUUAAAAUUAUUUCCUUAGUUUAAGAUCUUCAUGAUAUGUAUAAAUAUAAAUAAAGGGUGAACCUUGUAUAUAUGCAUGAUAUGAGAAUAAGAGAAAGUUGCUAACUUCUCCGCGGAUGUAGGCUAUAAGCCAAACCACGUACAUCUUUGUCUCUCUUCUUUUAUUAUAUUUCAAAUUUUUAUAUGGUAUCAGAGCAGAAGGUCCUGAGUUCAAGUCAUACCAGACCCGUAGCAUAAUUAAUUUCCUUCCUUUUAAUUCAAAUUCACGUCAUGGGUCUUGCAAAAAGUUUCAAGCCCAGACGUGAAGGGGAGUGUUAAAUAUAAAAUUAUAUAAACACCGUUUUCUAACAGCUUAAGUUUUUAGAGUACAACGGUUGUAAUUCUCCUGAAUAUAGUCAUAAACUUAUAGCUACAAAAUUUAACCUAUUAAAUAAUUAAAUCUUUUAUUAUUAUUUAUUAAAAGUAAUCUUAAUUUAUUAUAAAUAAAGUAAUUCUAACCCAUUAUAAAAAAAAGUAGAAUUUAGGUUUUACUAUUUAAUAAUUUUUUUAAAAAAGGUUGAGUGUGGUGGAAAUCGAGUUCUACAUUUUAAAGAAAAAAGUCGAGAGUAAAUAAAGUGAAUGUCUAAUGUAACUUAAGUUACACUAUAUUUUUAAUGCACACCAAAAUAAAUACAGAAAAUAUUGGAACUUAAGUUCCACCAAAACAAACAGCCCCUUACUGGCUAAGUAUUCCACGUGGCAUUAUUCAACUGGAUGUAUAAAUUCGUUUCUCAUGUUCCCCCCUAUUUUGGAAAAAAUUCUAGAAUACGCCGGGUAUACUAGUGACAUGGCGUCACAAAUCAAUCAAAUAAAUUCUUUUAAAAAUAUAUGUCCCAUCAUGAUGGUAAAAAAAUAUUUUUGUUGUACUUUUGUUUGAAAAGAAAAAAUAUGAUUGGCUUGUUAUUGAUGACGUGGUGCAAGCGUGACAGUGUAGAACUUCUCCUAUUUUGGAUCCACUACAAAAAAAUAUUAGAAUCACUCUCUUUUUAUCCCCUUUUUUUAAAUAUUAAACAUUAGUUUUCUUAGAAAAUAUUUUAGAGGCAAAAAAAUAAUAAUAUAAUUCUAAAUUUUUACUUUUUGUUAUUAAAUACAUUACUUGGAUGCAAGAUGGCAAGCAAUACACCAUUUUCUUCUAUAUUAUUUUCAGUAGAAAUUUUAUUCAUAAAGAUAAUAAUAAUAAUAAACCCACUAUAAUACCAAAAAAAAAAAGAAUUUAGAUUGCUGAUACGUGGGUAAAUCUAUAUGCACAUAGGACUUGGUGCAAGAUGCUACAGCUUAAUACACAGUAGGUUGUAGAAUUUUUUUAAAAUCCUAUGCACAUAAAGCUUCUGCGCACGAAAUGAUCUCACUUUUUCUUUUUUUGAGAGAUAAAUAAUAUGUUAUCCGUUUUGUCUAUUUCAUUUAGAAAUAAACUUAGCUAAAAAUGUGUGAGAUCCCUGGUGUUCAGCAGUGAAGGCUUGUCGACAGCUCUAGAAAGUGUCGGGACAAGUCUGAGUCGCGUUGGCGCGAAAUAAACGCAAAACGGACUAGCUCUCGGCGACGCGAGAGCAGCAUUUAGCAAGAAAAUAUGCAAAUUACUGUUUUCUGCUUGAUGUACCGGUACAGCCAUUAAGGUGUACCGAUACACUUCAUCAGGCUGCGCGCGGGUUGCUCUCGGGUUAGCCUUUGUACCGAUACUCCGACCCGUGUACCGGUACGCCUGGGUAGGUAGAGGGGCAUUUCAGUCUUUUCGAGCCUCGUUUGUGUCACCAGCUCUCCCUCUCUCUAUUUAGCCUUGUGUGGAGAGAGAGAGAGAGUUCCUCUGCUUCUUAUUCCUUUCUCUCACUCUCAAACCGAUUGUAGGCUAGGGAGGAGUUUGGGUGGAGCUUUUNACAUCAAGCUCGGCUCAUUUAAUUUCGAGUCGAGCUCGAGCGAGCCGAAUAUCGAGCCGAACACGAGUCGAACGCGAGCCGGCUCGCUCGUUUGCCAGCCCUAGCUGCCGUUACAUCGCAAGGAGGCCGGGCGAACGUGGAUCUUCGCCGUUAUUGACGUCGCACUGGUGCUAGUCGCUGUCAAGGUGGGUGUUCCGUUGAAUUGCUUCUUCUUUUCCGAGCAUCAUCAAAUUCGAGCUAAGUGCUGAUUUGUAGAUUUUCCAGCGUCGACCGUUGGCGUUUCGGCCCGUUCUCGACGUAGGAGCGUCAGAUUUCGACGAGACUUGGUUCGUUGGAUUCAGGACUUAGAGAGGAAUCCACGAAGCCCUUAUUUGCUGGAUUUGGUGAAGGUUAUCUUGGUCGGAAUUAUAAUCUCCUCUGCUGCUGCGUUUCGGACAGAAUUAAUGGAUUUCAGUGUUUUACCUUGAUGUAGCUUUGUUGCUGGAUUUGUGGGCGUUUCAGUUGAUCCGGCAGGUUAUCCCGCAGCUGAGGGAGUUCAUCGCUGUUAGGGAUUAGCUCUCGGGGUGGGUUACAUUGGUUUAUUCCUAAGUAUCGUAUUAGUCGACAUGUAUGAUUUUCAGUUUUGUAUAUCAUGUGUAGCUCAAUUUCGUCGAUUAUAUCUUGAUGAAAUCCGAUUUGAGAACAUGGUUAGUAAUCCCUAAAUAUACAUGUUGGACUCGGAUUUGACUUAGGAGAAAACGCGAUAACGAUCGGCACAUGUAAACUACCUGAUUUAGCUCUAGGGGCCGUUGUAUUAUUUUAUACUGUUGCAGUAUCCUCAGAGUGAGUAUUUCAGGUAGUUUAGUUUUCAGUUAUGCUCGUGCUGGGAUGCCGAGUGUAUUUUUACAGUAGCAUUCAGACUGUUCCGGACUGUUAGGUGCCGUCGGGGUUGACGGUGGACCCGUAUCGCCUGUUUGGCGUCAGAUUGUGCCGAGGGCACGUUACCUGUUGGUUGUUAGAUCAGUUUGAGUCGGUUACUGAAUUUUGACUUUCGAGAGCCUGAUUGAGCUCGACAGAGAUACGCUGCAUACUCGGUUGGGUAGCUCCCACGAGUGCCACUCCGGAGACGGGCGCUGUGCUUUCGCGUUGGUGUCGCUCAUACCGUUGGACUUGCUCUCCACGGACUAGUAGUGUGGAGGUAGCUGGAUAGUCACAACUGGACAGGGACGGGUUUGUUCACAGUCCCAGGGACGGGUAUGCUUACAGUCCCGAUUGGAUUGGGUCAGAUUUGACAUUUCCUACAGUUGAUUAGUGUAGAGCAUGAUAGUGUAGUGAUCCAUAGCGGUAGAUUUCAUUCCUGCAUUUACUACUAUCUUUACUCCCUUCUGUAGACUUAGUGGGUGGACCGAUGUCGUUCAGGGCGGCACCCACUGAGGACUACCUAUUUUUACAGUAGUUCUCACGCUCUGUUUUACCCUCCUGUUUUUGCAGAGCCAUCGUCUUCGGCUGCUGCUGUUGCCGACCAGAAUCGAGGUAAGGGCGUCGCGAGUUAGAGCCCUACCAGACGUGCUGAACUAGAGGUACCCCUACUGCAAGUAGAUAUUUAUUUUGAGUUCAUGUACAUAGUAUACUUAACUCGCCAGUGCGAGUAGCUCUGUGUUUUUGGUAUUAGACUAUGUAUAUGGAACUCCGUUUGUUUAGCUUUUGUUUACUCUAGCAGCUCUAUACUACUGUUUGUAGUAUUGUAUGAUUUACAGGUACAGCUAUCGCUUCGUAUACAAGGAAAAUUUCUUUGUAUACGGCGGAUUUGUCGGCGUGCCCGGAAAACGUGUAAUCCUAGGCGUGACAAAAUGUGUGAAUCAACUAAGAUUCGAAUUUGGGACCUCAGAUACCAACCACCAAACCCUUUACCACUUGCUCUAAGAACAGUCGAUAUAAUCUCAUUUAAUUAUCCAACAUGUUUGAGUAGUUGGUUUAAUUUCCACUCUAAAAUAUGUGACGAAGUGCCAACUUUAAUUAAUUUGGUGUGCAACCAUGCAAGUUUGUGGGCUUCAUGUGAAGUGUGUAAAUAGAUGAGUAUCGCCAUCAAUUAGUGAUGUGUUAACAUCAAGGCAGAGUGAAAUUUAAUGUCUAAUUAAAAAGAAAAGGAGUGCAUUAAAAUAGGCAUUUGAUUAAUAGUUAUUCACUUUGUAGCAAUCUCACUCAAAAAAUGAGUAUCAUAUAUAAAAAGUACCCCAAAGCCAUAAAUAGCAUUCAAUUUGCGGUUGAUUAGUAUGGGAUCGUUCGUUGUGAAAUCUGCAAUCACCAUCUAUAAUGUUAAGAUAAAUAAUGGAUUGUUUUUCACUAGAUCGAUCUAUUGGCUAACAGAUUGUCCGAUGUGAGACCUGCUUGCCAUCCGUAAUGUUAAGAUUAAUUAAUACUGGAUUGUUUUCCAUUUGAUCGUGUUGCGGGCCUAAAGUCCCGACCCUUGACCCGGUCAGAUAUCCUCCUCGGGAAGAGCGUCGGGAUGAUGAGCGGCCGCGGAUGAUGACCCUCGAAGUUUGUGCCCACAGAGGAUCAAGCGAUUAGGCCGAUGAGGGAUCAAAUCAGCCGGGUUCGAAAACCUUCAUAGUAAAUUCGCUUCGGCAGGAUGAGCCGAAUGAACAGGGAAAACCUAUAUCUCGGCUGAGAGAUGAGCCGAAUGGCUAGAACAACAUGAGAUCUGAUCGGCAGGAAGAGCCGAAAUGACUUUCUAUUGAACAGCGAGCGGAAAGAGUACAGGAACAAGGGAGUGAUGCCCGUAGGGCAGACAGACUCCGAGUAUGAGGACAGGGGAGUGAUGCCUGUAGGGCAGAUAGACUCCGAGUAUGCUAAAUUACAGGAACUACUCCUAAGGAAAGUGGUAAAUGCGAGAAUAGAAAGAUGCAGGAAAAUAAAGGUGGUCUUUUGUGCGCAGGGGCGAAGACCCCUUUUCAGGAUAUUACAAGCCUAUUUAUAGAUUUGCCCUUGCGUUCAGUUGUUGUUAUUUGGGCGAUGCAAUCUUUUUCGGUUUGAGGGCCACCUAUCGUCGAUUGAACCGCUCUUUAACCGUUGCGUGUUGCUUUCAUUUUGAACGAUUGCGGUUUUAUUUUCUGCGCUCUUAUUGUACUCCGGGAUAGCCAGCGUUAUCGAAUGGAAUGGAUGUGACUCGGUUGUGCAGUGUCCGGCCGGGAUUGCAACAAUCGGGUAUCUGCUUAUAAGAUCACCAUUAUACGGAAUACAUCAUCGGCUUUAUCCAACUAGCACCAAAUACUUUAAGCUCGUUUUAUUAUCAAUUUUUCAGGUCUCGGUCUGUUAUAUUUUCCAUAGAUAUGUGCGCAUUAGGCUACAAACUUUUUUCGUUUACUUUAGAUCUGAUGGUGAUUUAGCUCUCAGUUUAUGGCUGUUUAUUUUGAUUACACCGUAUGAUCUAAACACUUCGACCAAUAUUCGUUGGAUUCUAUCAGUCUGGCUUCGAUAAUGUUUAGACGCUAUUUGUUUUUUGUUUUUAAAAGAUAGGUACACUAACGCUCGUUUAUUUUCAUUAAGAAUAACUUGCUAGAAAUGGUGAAUCAAUAGGAUUGAACUUGACGCUCAGAUAUCAAACACCAAAUUUUCCACUUCUUUAGGGACUAGGCAUCAUAUGAUUUUCCGACUAUUAAUAUUACUAUAUUCCGGUUUCUUUAUUUUUCAUCUAAUUUUUUUUUGUGGAUGUAGAUAUUGGGGUUAUUGGGCAGUUCAAAGCAUUCGGGGGUGGUUUGCUACUUUAAAAAAAAGCGUUUGGGCUGAAAAGUGAUUUUUUUGGACUAAUACGGUUCGGCACUCAUUUUAAAUCUGAAUUCUUUCAGAAUCAGAAAUUGAUUUUAAGGCCCAGAUAGAAGCAGAAAAAAUGUGCUUCUUUGAAUCUGAUUUUGAUUUGGUUGAUUAACUUCAAUUUUUUUUUUUUUUUAUUUCAAUGUUUAAAAUGUAAAUUUAUUAAAUUUUAAAGUUUUAGUCUCGAAUUUCAUUUGUCAAAUUAAUUUUAAAAUUUAUUUUUCAUUUUAAAUUUUAAUUUAUAUUUUAAAUUUUACUUUUAAAUAUUUUCAAAAUUUUAAUUUCAAGUUAAAUUUAAUAUAAUUUUUUAUUUUCAAUUAUUAUUUCAUUUUAAUUUAAAUGUUUAAUUUUUAUUUAAUUUUAAAUAUUAAAUUUAAAUUUAAAAUUUAAAUAUUUCAUUUUAAAUUUUAAAUUUAAAUGAUUCACAUUUAAUUUUAAAAUUUAAAAAUAUUCAAAUUUUAAAUUGUUACAAUUUAACUAUUCAAAUUUACAUUUAAUUUUAUUUCGUAUUUUUAAAUUUGAGAAUGGUUAUUUUAAUGUUACUUUAAAAUUAAUUUAAAUAAAAUUAUAAAAUUUCAAUAUAUUUAUAAUAUAAAAUAUUUAUUAUUUUAUAUUUAAUUUAUAUAUUAUAUUAUUUUACAUUAACUUUUAAUUUUAAAUUUAUUUAAAAUUUAGAUUUUAAAUUUAAAUGAUGGUAGUCUGUAUUAACCUAUGUAAUAUGAUGAACGUGCCCCGAUGCUGCUGCCAUGAUGCUUAUCAUUAGGGUUUGCAAACCUUCGCUUCUUAAUUAAUUUGAUUUUUUUUUCUCUCUCUCCUAGGAACGAUGUGGGCAGUUGGAAGUUCGGAGGGAGUUUCAUCGGCGACGUGGUGCGGAAAGCUGUAUCGGCAGCGCACGGUUUGUGUCGGAUUGUGCUGUGAGGAGCUUGGGCGGGCGUUGGGAUUCCGUGAGUCUCGACUUGCGGCGACUUUGAGGAUCGUAAUCGGGUGGUGCUGCUGUGAAUGUGCGGAUUACUUCGGUUUAUUUCAUUCGAGCUAGGGUGCUGUAUUGCAGGAUCUUGUCAUCUGACUGUUUAGUAUUUCAGCCGGUUUCCGCGGGUAGGAGAUCGGAUUUCAACGGAUUUGUUCGUUGGAACCGAGAGUUCGAGAGGAUCCUACGAUCACUAUACUUCGGCCCGAUUGAGAGUUUGCUCUGUCGAAAAUCCCUUUUUAAUUGCGUUUGCUGUUUGCCGGCGAUUAUGAGAUGAUGUUUCGCAGGUGUCCAGCGUCGACGUUUCGUAUUCAUGGCCCUGUUCUUGUAGAGCGUCGGAAUUCAAGCGAACUUGACAUUGGCAUUCGUGACUUUGUUGAGGCGAAGCUUCGGACCCCUUGGUUUUCUGAAUUGGAUUAGUGUUAGCGUUGUCGAUAUUUAAUGCUUUCUUUCGCUUGCUGGUUUUCUGGCAAUUCAGGUGUGAUUUAGACUGAUAAUUGAGGCUGACUUCUUCGCCAUGCAGGAGAACGGGGACUUCGACGGACCAGCGAGGGUAUUUUGGGAUCCGGGCACUUAUUUCGCUUUCUAGGAGUUGUUUGAGAGGUGGUACAUCGGUUUUUCUUCUAAGUAUAUCUCGUCGGAUGUAUUAAUUGUUCGCCUUUGGAGUACUCUAUGCUAUGCUCGAUUCAUUGAAUUUAUUGUAGAUAUGCAAUCUGAUUUGGGAGAUUGUGGAAUAUAUUGUAGUUUUCAUGAUUGAUUGGAAUUGAAUCUAGGGAGAAACGCUUGGUUUUGGGACUGGUUCAUGUUUAAUGCUGGAUUUAGUUCUAGGGAGCCGUUAUUAAAUUGUACUUGUGGCGUAUUUCGGCGGAGUAUCCAGGUGUUUAGCAUACAUUUACCGUUGGCUGUGCGCCGAGUUGGAUUUUUCAGAUGUUUCAGGUUACUUUCGGAUGGUGUGCAUGUAGUUUGCGGGGACGAUGGCUCUUAUUUGGCGUUCAGAUUGGUCGAGGACAUUACCUAUUGGAUGGUUUAGACCAGUUUGAGUCGCGUUUACAUCUGGACUUUGCUUUUCAGGCCUGUUUUUUUGAGGGGUCGACGAGAUACGCUGCUAAUCGGUUGGUAGCCACGAUGCCAUCGGACGUCAGUUGUGCUUUUGCGUUGUGUCGUAUGCGUUAGAUUGUCUCCACGGACAGUUAGUGUGGAUGAGAGCGAUAGUCGCAGACGCCGGCGGAGGGGUAUUCACAGUCCGAUUUGGAUGGGUCAGUUUGACAUUUCGUCAGUCGGUAGUUAAAGCAUAUGUUGUAGUGAUUGAUAGCCGGUAGUAUGUAUUUCCUGCUUCUUCUUCCUUGCUCUUCUUUGUAGAAUUAGUGGGUGACCGAUGUUUUGGCGACGUUACCAUUGAGGAUAUUCGUUUUUCAGUAGUCUCUCACGCCAGUUGUUACUUUGUUUUUGUAGAGUCGCAGUGCGGGGGGUGCUGCCUUCCGCGCAGGAUCGAGCGAAGGGUUUACGAGCUAAGCCCUACCGCAGUCGAGCUAUGGGUUUCCUCUGCGGUAGUUGUUGUUUUGGAGUUUUGUACUAGUUAGUUUAAAUCGCCAUGGUAGUUGUUAUUAUUGGAUAUAAGUAUGUAUAUAAAUCAGUUAUUUAGUUUUUCUGUAGCAGUUCUUGCUACUGGUUUGUAAGUAUGUUUCUUUCGAUUUUGACGCUCGUAUACAGAGGGAAAUUCCUUGUUCGGCGGAUUUGUAGGUGCCCGCGGGACAGAUUAUCCGCUAGCGUGACAUUUAAUUCUAAUUUAAUUUUGAAAUUUUAUUUAAAUUUUAAAUUUUUAUAUUUUAACUUUUAUAUUUAUAAAAUUCAUAUAUACUAUAUAUAUAUUUAAUUAUUUAUAUUUUUAAUAUUAAUUUUUCUAAUUAUUUUACAAUUUUAAAAUUUUAAAAAUUUUAAUUAUUUUUUAAAUUAAAAUAUCAAAUUUUAAAUUUUGUACAAUUUUGAAAUUUAAAAAUUUUAAUUUUAAUUCAAAUUUAAAUUUAGAUUUUAAAUUAUUUUAAAAUAAAAUUAAAUAAAAAUAUUAAUUUAUGCAAACAUCAAAAAAAAAAUUUGCCAAACAGCUUUUCAAAAUCACUUCAGAAAAAUCACUUUUAUCUAAACUCUGCCAAACGCUCUACAACUUUUAACCAAAAUCACUUCUUCAAACUAAAAUCACUUUUUCAGAAACUAUGCCAAACAGGCCCUUCCUCUGUUUCAAGAGGUUCUUAUAGUCGACGUCCAUCUCUAAAAGACAUCAAACAAUCAUUAUCUUAAAAGAUUUAAGCUGACGGAGGAUGAUAUUUUUUGAUUUUUUAGGAGGGUGACGGAGCUCGAAUUUAACAUUUUCAUCUCUAAUAUUAUAUAAAAAUAAAAUAAUUUGACAUAAUCAUUUGUUUCUAAAAAUUUAAGGUAUUGGACAAUAAUACAACAAUAUUUUUGGUACUUAUUUCUUUUUUAAUUAAAGUUCCAAGUAAGAUCUUCUCUUAAGAGAUUAUGGACAUACACUUUUACAAAGAAAUGAAAUUUAUAUAAUACUACCACUUAUGAAAGAAAUAAAAAUACACACCCAGUGUGUAAGUGUACCCACUGUACACACACAUAACAUUUAAUAGUUUAUAAACAUAAACUAACUAAUUAAAUUUGCCUGAAAACAUUAUAAAUAUAAUUAAAUAUAUACUAAAUGAAAAACUAAUUAAUUAGACUACAUAAAUAGUAAAUAAAAAAAAUCAUACUUUAGUUUUAAUUAGAAAAUUGAAUUCACAAUAAACAAUAGUAUGUAUUUUUAGUUUUAAUUAAUUUUUAAUUAAGAUCAACAUAAACUAGCAGACAUAAAAGAAUUUAUAAGCUAAAUCAUAAACAAUUAUGAGCCAUUUUUUUCGUAAGAAACAAAUUUUCUAACAUAAAAUAACACCGCAUAAUUAUUUAUAAUUAGCUAUGUAUAAAUAGGAGCAAAUUAAUUAGUCUAAAACUCUUAUUCAAUCUGAUUAAGAGUAUUUUUUAUAUAAUUAUUAAUUUAUAGUGGAAAAGAUAUUGACAAUUUUGAAGGAGUAUCUAUGAUAUUUAUAAUCUUUGAGGGGCAAAUUUGAAAGCACGCUCUUUAUUUUUUUUAAAAAAAAUUGUAUUUUAAAAUUAUAAUUUUUAAUAGAUAUAAUUUUAAGUUUAUUAAUAUAUAAAUGAGUUAAAUUUUGAUUUCAAAAUUUUUAUAACAGAACUUUAAGAAUGUGGUGUACGAGAUAUACCUUAUACACUAGGUUCUCGCAAUAAUUUUUCGGGUCCAUCUCUGUAGCUAGGGAAAAAUAAAAAAUAAAAAAACUGACUCUCAAUCUACAUACCCCCUUUUCUUUUGUUAUUAUUGUUUAGUUUUCAAGAAUUUUUUUUUUUUUUUUUAAAAAGCAUCCAAAUUUUUAUUGAUUUUUGAAUUUGGAAGGUAUAUUUGUAUUCUUAAGCAUCUAAUCUAGAGACUACUUUGGAAAAUAUAACUUUCUUUUAGGCUAAAUUAUAAAAAACCCUCUCUGUAAUAACUCGCUUUUUUACUUUUCCGCCUGACAUUUAAAAAUCUAUACUUUGCCCCCUUGUAAAAUAAAAAAGGUUCACAAGGGGGUUAUGGUGUGUAAAAUGACCAUUUUGCCCCUCGCCUUUUUCGUCUUCUUCCUCACCUUUUUCAGCCGCCUCUUCGAUCGGCCGCGGUUCCCACCUCAAUCGGCCGCGAUUUCUCUCCAUUUCCUUCUCCACCUACUCCCCUUCUCCUCCUGCACCCUCGCCCUCCCUCGAUUUCGAUGAUAGUAGGGAGGCAAUCGAGAUGGGUGUUGAUGGAGAGGUAGGCAAGAGCAACGAGGGCGAAGGCGUGGCGGCGGAAGAGGGCAAAGGGGAUGUGGGCGAGGGCGAGGCGAUGGAGGACGGCGAGGCGGCGAGGUGGCGGCGAGGCGGCGAACCGGAGGGAGGCGAAGCAACAAAGAAGAGGACGGAGGGGUAUUUUCGGCAUAAAAAAAUAUUUUAUAACGGAACCCUAACGUUAGGGGGUGAAGUGCACAUUUUUCAUUUUAUAUGGGGGCAAAGUGUAUGUUUUUAAAUGUCAGGGGGGGAAAGUGAAAAAGCGGGUUAUUGAAUAGGGUUUUUCUAUAAUUUAGCCUUUCUUCUAUAUAUNUUACAAUCCAUAUUAAUUAGGCCUAAAAUUUUGGAAUUAUGAUUGGAUUUACAUGUUCUAUGUAUGAAUUGGAAUUAUCUAAUUAAAUUGCAGUUCAUACAAUUAAUCAAAAAUCAGGUAAUUUGAUUGGCAAAGAAUUAAUUAUUCAAUAAUGCAAUUUUAGUCUAUUAGAUAUACUCAAUAUCAUUCUCCAACUCUCUGUACAGGAAUAUAACUGUUAUUCCUUUUCUUUUUUUAUUUUUGAAAGAACCAAUUUGAGACAACAGUAGAAUGCAGGAUUAAGACAUGAACUGAAGUGCAAUGUCCAUUUACCCUUUUCUUUAUCUUUUCUUUUUUUGUUUGUGUGUGUGUGUGUGUAAUUUAUUUGCUAAACGUUAAUAGUUAUAUUUAUAUUUGAGUGGAGCAACUAUAAUUUUGUAAGCAUCAACAUCCAACUUUUGUGCAUUUUUAACUAAUCAUUAAUGUAAAUUAGUUAUGAUAUAUUAAAAUUUAGAAUAAGAUCGAUCAAGUCAUUAAGACAAUAAUUAACUAGCUAGGAUGAUCCAAAUUUUUAAAAUUUUAACUAAUAGUUAUAACUUAAUUAUCAUCUACAAUUAUUAUCUAACCAUCCAAAUGUGUUAGAAUCACUUCAAAAUAAUUGAUAAGAUUCAACUUUUUUUUUAAAAAAUAAUUAAUAUUUAUAAGUGAUCGCCUUAAUUCCUUUAUUAUCAUGACCACCCAAAUGUAUUGCAGUUGCUCUUUUAUUCACAAAUUUUGAAUUUGAGGAACGAAUUUCAUUAAUUUACUGUAAUUUGAUUUGAUAAAAUGACCAGAGCGAGAUAGGGGUGUCGACUAGCCAAACACAAGCAAGUUAGGGCCGGGUCAUCAACGAGCCGAAUAUUGGCCGACUCAUCAAAAGUAUCUGACCGAAAAAUUCAACUCAAAUUCGGCUCAUCGAAUAUAAGCCAUACACGAACUGGCUCACGUAUAAUAAAUUAAAAUGAUUAGAAAAAAUAUAUAUAUGAAAAAUAAAUUUAUGAGAUAUUAUACAUUAGAUUUUGAUCUAAUAGUUGAAACUUUACAUAUAAAUUGGCUUUUCUAUAAUUGAGUUAGGCUUUACAUUUAGAUUGGACUAAAAAGCAAAUAAUAAAAAUUUAUAUUUAUAUAUAAUUAUUUAUUUUAUAUAUAUUAAUAUAAAUUAUAUAAAAUAUAAAAUAUAUUUUUUCAAGCUGUUAUCGAGUCGAACACGAGUGAGCUGACCUGAGCUUGUGUUCGGCUCGCUUAUUAAACGAGCUGAAAAAUUCAGCUCAUGUUUAGCUUGUUUACUAAACGAGUGAUUAGAUCUCAAGCUUAUUUCAAGCCGAACGCGAGCUGGCUCGUAAACAGCGACUGGAUUGUCCGAGGAUUUCUUUAUUAUUUUUUAUUUUUUUUGAAAAAAUAACUUGUAUAGAUUUAUUUAUGGCAUUUUAAUUAAGAAAAAGGCUAAGUAUACAAUCUUUGGGGUUGUAAUCUUUACAACCACCAAUCCAAGGGCCAAGAGAGUUUACUUAUCCUUUUCUUUAUUAGUUUUUUAAAAAAACAGAAAUUUAUGAGACUAAUUCUUAUAACUUGGCCUUUAGAUGGAAUAUUUUGAAAUUCGAAAUAUGAGGUUGAUAGGAAUGUAGAUUAGAUUAGUAUGAAUGAAAGAGAAGGUAGUUUGUAUAAUUUCGAAAUUCAAAAUAUAAGUUAAAACAUAAAAAAAUAAGAUAAAAGUAUAAAAAUAUAGAUAAGCAUGAAUGAUAUAUAGAGAUUAGUAUAAUUUCAAAAUUCAAAAUAUUAGGUGGAUAGGGAUAUUUUCUUUAAAAAUUUAUAUUAGAAAACAAUAUAGAAUAUUAAAAAUAUAGAUUAAAUUAGUAUGGGUCGUAAUUCGUAAGUAGAUAAGUAUGGGUGGAAGAGUAAAAAUAUGGAUUAGGUAAGUUAAUUUGGAUUGUAGUUAGAUAAUUACAGGUUGAAAGAGAAGUUGCAUUAAUUUUUAGAAUAGAAAUAUUCAAAGAGUCGCUAUAUAUUACGUACUUAAUUUCAGGAUAAAAAUAAGAAGAAAAUCGACGAACUUUUUUUUUUUGAAAUUUCAAAACUCGGGUUUCUGAUUUUUUAUAUAUUUUUAUCUAUCUAUAUAUACUAUCUUCUAUAGAUUAUAUAAAAGUGCCUAUUUUAAAUUAGGGUAUGUUUAUAUGCCUGCUUUUUGAUGGGAAAAAAAUUUUGCUCCCCUUUUCUCUCACGCAAAAUGAAUGACCUAACAAAAUAGGAUUUAAUUCUCUUUUUUCUCUAACAAAUUACUUUUUUUAUUAAAUAUUUUUAUAUUAAUUAUAUUUUUUGUAAUAUAUAUAUAUAAUAGAACUAAACUAAUAUACUAUUAAUAGCACUAAAUCAUUCAUACAAUUAGAGAGAAAGAGAGAAAGAGAUAGUGAGGAGGUAAAACACUAUAUAUGUACUAUUUAUAAACUUGUGAAUUGGAAACCAGAGUUUUCUGUCUCGCCACGUGGUAGCGGGUGCGAGCGAGGGGGGGUGGGUACGCGAGCCUGCGCGGGCUUUUUCUUUCUUUCUUUCUUUCUCUUUUUUUUUUUUUUUUUUUUUUUUUUUUUUUGCUGUGACCCACACUCCUCUCUCUCACUCUUUUUUGCUUUUUCUUUUUUGCUUUUUCCAACACUUCUUAUUUUAGAGUGCUGUGGGCCAUAUACAAAAAAUAAAUUUUAAAUUUUAAAUUUUAAAUUUUAAAUUUUAAAUUAAAAUUUUAAACCGUCUUUUUUUAUUUUGAUGGGUUGUGGACCGCAUAUAAAAAUUAAAAUUUUGUAUUUAAAUUUAAAGUUUGAAUUUAAAUUAAAAUUUAAAUUUUAAAUUUGAAUUUUAAAUUGAAUCUAAUUUUGAUUUCAAACUUAAAUUUUUUAUUUUGAUUUUGAUAUUUCAAUUUAUGUUUAAAUUUUAUAAAUAUAUGACUUGAAAAUCAAAAGAAGAGCUCUCAUUAAUUAUUCGGGGAUUUUUUCAGUCCCACAUUCCUUUUUUCUUUUUAAUUGAGGAUCAAUUGUACCAUUUGUCCCAACCUUAAUUUGCACCAUUUUUUACUUUAGUCCCUAAUAUUUUUUUUUUUGCAAUCAAGUUCUCACUUUUUCUUGAUUUCAUAGUGAUUAUGUCCCAACUGUUAAAUCAAUGUGGUUUCACACUUUCUCACUUUAGUUUUCUGUGGUUUAAAGUGUAUCAAUUUAUCCUUUUAUUUUGAGGGGUUAUGCAUGGGGUCUAUAUGUAAUUUUUUUAUGAAUUAAUCGCAUAUUGGUCUCAACAUUAAUUUUAAUGAAAAUAAUUUACUGUAAUAAUAUCUUCCCGCCGUAUCGCGCGGACGCCCCUUAACUAGUUAAUAGUAUAAGACUAGUAUAUAUUAUCAAACUUUUGAGGAGGUUUAGGGUUUAGUGGAGGUCGGUAAAAUAAUAAAAAUCUAUGGGUUGCAAAGUUUUUUUUUUUUUUUUUUUUUUUGAGAGAUAGUUAGUACGCUACCCGCUUUGUUUAUUUCAUUUAGAAAUAAACUUAGUGUAAAUGUGAAUCAACUAAGAUUCGAACUUGGGUCUAGAAUACCAACCAUCAAGCCCUUUGCCACUUGCUCUAGGGACGGUUAGUGGGUUGCAAAGUUGAUAGCAAAUGCAAUAUAUUUAUUUAAUAUCAAUAAUAUAUACUAGCUAAGUGAUCUCUCUCUCUCUCUCUCUCUCUCUCUCUCUAUAUAUAUAUAUAUAUAUAGAACUAAGCUGGAAUACUAUCAAUAGUACAAGUUAUUGGUGCUAUAAGUUUUUUAGCUCUUGGAUUGAGAAAUGUGCACCUAUGAUGACGUGGGCCCCCUACGGUUGAGUGGGUGGUUGGUUGAAUAGUAUGAUCUAACGGGUAAAUAUAAUCCAAGGGGUUAAUCUAAAGGCAGAAAAAUUGAAGUCACCAAGUGCUUGGUACUAUCGAUAGCAUAGCAGCCGGACUCAUAUAUAUAUAUAUAUAUAUAUAUAUCAUAUAUACGGAUAUAUAAUAUUAUAUAAUAUAUAUUAUUAUUAUAUAAAGUCCGGCUACUAUACUUUUAUGAGUAUUGGCUCUCUUAUACUCAUAAGUUUUUGGCUUUUAUAUUUAUUUCAUUGAUCAUUUUCACCCGUUAAAUCAUACUAUUCAACCAACUAUCUAUUCAACCCUAGGGAACCACUAUCAUUUUAGGUGGGGACCACCGUCAUCCUAACCACACAUCCCAUCAAUCAAUGAUUAAAAAUUUAUAAGUAUAAGAAGGUCCAUACUCAUAAGAGUAUAGUAGUCCCAGCCUAUAUAUAUAUAUAUAUAUAUAUAUGUAGAGAGAGAGAGUAGGGCUACUGUGCUAUAAGGAGCACAGCAGUUCUUGUGCUCCUAACUUUCUAAACACCCAUCAAGUUUGAUGGGUGGUUAGAAUAAAAGGAAAAAGAGAUAUCGAAGAAAAAAUUCAAGGAAAAGAGAAAUUAAGACACCCAAUUUCUCUCCAACAUCUUUUUUCCCUCUUAUUCUAACCAUCCAUCAAAUUUGAUCGAUGAUUAGAAUAAGAGGGAAAAACGAUAUUGGAGAGAAAUUGGGAAAGUUAGAAACAGAAGGACUACUGUACUCCUAAUAGUACAGUAGCCCUACUCUAUAUAUAUAUAUAUAUAUAUAUAUAUAAUUUUUUAUUAAUUUUUCAACGUAGGACUGUCCGCAUGCCAACUCUAAAUAAAUUUGAUCGAGAGAAAGUCCUAACAAUACAGUAUUUAACAAAUGCAUAACCAUACGAAAAGUAUUUUAAGCAAAUAUCAUAUAAAUGCUGAGAGUACUAUUGGGUAGUUGGCUAAGGACUUGCCGGUUUGGUCGAAGCUUAAUUGUUUUAUAUUUCUAACUAAUUAAAUUAUUUUUAAAAAAUGAAUGAAGUCGGUAACUUGCUACAUUUCUCUGAAAAAAAAAACAAAUAGAUAUCUUUUAAAUAGCAUCAACUUUAAUACCUUUUGGAGGUUUAUUUCGCAUCUUUAUUUGAUUAAUCAUCAGUACUGUGCUUGCUGAUCUAGUAUUACUUUUCAAUACACAUGGAGGAGCCUGUUCCAGUAUUACUUUUCUAUGCACAAGGAGCCUGUUGAUCUGGAAGUGACAUAAUGAGCAAAAAAUAUUUCUGCAACAAAGGAAUGUUUAAUUUUAUGUGGGAACAAAUUAUCUAAAUAAUAUUCUUGGUUAAUCAAGUAUGGAGAUCUAAUUUCUUUAGUAAGUUUUACUUUAUUGCAUGUGUUAUUUAAAAGAUUGAUCUGAUAGAAAAUAAUCGAGAAAUAGCAUUACCACUUCUGCUCACAUGCAUGCAUGAUGGAGAUCAAAUGAACCAUUGGUCAGUCCACUGACUUAAGGUAAUAAAGAAGAUAACAAAAUUAAUAGCAUACAAUUAAUAGUAUAUACCAUAAAAUGUUUGAAUGUAGAAAUUGAACUUAAUUACAAUCUCUAAAACCAUAUUAAAGGGUUUGAAUCAAACCAGAAGUUUAAACAAUCUCAAGACCUUCUACUUCAAUGCAACUAAUGUGAAACAACUAUUUAUUUCUAUAUCAAAUUUUACGCUACAAAGCAAUAAUUGAUGACUUCGUAAGUUUAAGCUGAUUUGUGUGCUGACAGAUUUGCACAUUAUAUAUAUGCUUUCCAUUCUUUUGACACAUGCUUAAUUAGCGGUAUUAACACCACUACAAUAGAAUUAGAUUAUAUGGACACAUGUUUGGGACACUUUUGUGUAAGUGUCCCAUUUAUGUCAAAACUUAAAAAAAAUUUAUUAAUGCCUAAAUAUAAAACCCAAUCCAACAAAAAAUAGAAGGUUACUCUACUCAACCCAUCCCACCCAGCCCAUUCGGCCCGAUUACAAACAGAAAAGAAAAAAAGAAAAAGAAAAAUCGAUUACCAUCUCCCCUUCUCCCCUCACUCAAUCUACUGAAAUCUUAGACGAAGAGCCAUUUCCUCUCGUCCUCCUCCGCCACCGCAACCAACGAGGUAGAGUUCCGGCGGUUGCUAAAUGCUUAAAUAAGUGUUGGUAAGUUAGCAGCACUGUUUUAGCUUAUAGCGAUACUCUUUAACUGUCACUAUAUACCUAGCGACCCCACAUAUAGCAACACUUUAAAAGUAUCAGUAAUUUAGCCAGCAGCACUUUUUUUGACUUAUACCGACAUUUAAAAGUGUCGCUAUAGACUGUUUUUGUUGUAGUGCACGUGGCAGGAGAACAAUCCGGUCACAUGAUUCACAUAUCAAAUCACUAUUAAUAUGCGAUACAAACUCAAUCCACGUAUUAGAUGCGACUAGAAUGCGGCACAAACAACUUCACAUGGUAGAUAUCACUAGCGGGCGAUAGGAUUAGGCUGAGUAAAAAUAAUGACCAUGUGAACCAAACAAACUCUGAUACAAGUUAAUUUCAUUUCCGUGAAGAUUUGUCGAACUUAGAGAAAAGCUACUUGAAAAUUGUAUGUACUGUAUGGUAAAAAAUAUCCAACUUUAGAUAUAUUCUCCAUCAAACAAGAACUUUGUGCCUCUCAAGUAAACCAAAUUAGGAAACAAAUGUUAAAUCAACAAUAAAUUCAUACAUCAAAAAGAUAAUACAUCAAUUCUACGAUAAUAUAGUGAACAUAUAUAAAUGGAGUACACGUACCUUAUAAGAAACUUCGCUACUUAGGAAACGUUUCUCAAUUACAUUAUUGUAAUCGCAAGGAGACCUUGCAAAAAAUAAUAAUAAUUAAAUUAACUUUAAACAAAAUACAAAAGAAAGCUCCAUGCAUGCACUAAUUGGAUCACCGCACUAAUGUCCCAAUAAACUACAAGAGACCAUAAGGGUGACCAACUAAAAUAAAUAAAAGCCUACAUACUUGACUUAGUGAUGAUCUCUUGUAUAUUUAUUAAAUAAUAGAGUAAUUUUCAGUGUUACAGGUGUAUCUACCUCUAUCAACGUGUGUGUGUGUAUAUAUAUAUAUAUAUAUAUAUAUAUAUAUAUAUAUAUAUUGUGUAGCUUUGAUUUGUAUAAUAUCAUAUUGUGUAGAGUUUUUUAUCACAUGGGCCCACAAGUGAUAAACACAAGUAAUUAAUGAAGCCCUAAACUGUGUCCACAUGCAUCUCGAUCCUUCCUUUGUUCCUAUCAACAACAUGCUUUUGGCCUUCAUAAUUUUCUCCUGUGAGGAAACUAAGUAUCCUGGUAUUGUUGGAAGAGAUCCCAAUAAGCAUUAGGGGAAGGUGCAAAAGGAGUUGUUAAGAAAAAGCUGGGACUAACCAUGGCCAUGUUGUUGUUCUCUGUAGAAAUGUUACUCUUGUUAAAAGUAUGAAAAGCUGGGCUUAGCUCAUGUAAGAAGUUUAAGGAAUUCAUUUCCGGGAGCGGCGAGAAGAAGUUCGGAGGUAUCGCAGGUAGGGUCGAAGGGACGGGGGACAGGAUCCCCGGAAACGAUCCGGUUCUAUCCAAUAACCUUGCACCACCUUGAAACCCUAGCUGAUCGAGAACAUCCACCGCACCGUCGACUUGACUUGGCAUGUUGCCCCUCGGUGUGACGACUCUUCCUUGCGGUCGCUCGAUCACAGCUAACCUAGCUGCCGGCGAAAGCGCUUCCCCUUUAUCAGAAGCAAAAGCAGAAGCAGAAGUAGAAGCAAAAGCGGAGACAGAAGCAGAAGCGGAGGAGGAGGAGGAGGAGGAAGCUCCGGUUAGGCGUUGGACGAGCGACAUGAACUCGCUAGGGUGGGUGUGGAUGACCUUCGGUGAGACCGUGUAGAUAAUGACCGGGGGCCGCUGCUGCACUGGCAAAGCGCCAUGUUGGGGCUGGGCUGGAGCCACCGGCGGCUUCUUGAUCUUGUGGGAGUCCUUUCGCACCUUGAGAGGUGUCGGCCGGGGCCCUUGCAGCUCUCGUCGUGGCGACGGCCUCUCCUUUGUCGGUUCAAAGGGAUCCAUAUGUAUUGGUGUGUUCUGAGAAAGCGAGAAGAGAUCCUUAAAGAGAGGGCACGAGAGAGAGUGGUCCUUAUAUAUAGAUAGAGUGAUCUUUAGAGAGAGAGAGAGAGAGAGAGAGAAAGAGAAGAGGGGAUCAAUUGUGAGCAACGUGUUAAUGGUGUGAGACGUUAUUAUAUAUAUGAAGCCAACGAAGAAAAAUGAGACGCCACGUUAAAUAUUUGUUACACCCAUAGUCAAUGGAGUAAUGGAGUGCAUAAUAAUAAUAAUAAUAAUAUGACAACAAAAGCGAAAAAAAAAAAGAAGAAAGGACAAAAAAAAAAAAAGAAAAAGAAAAAGAAAAGUAACUCGUGGUAGCUUCUGUUGAACCUGUCCAUGGAGGUGGGUUGCGGGAUGCAGUAAACGACUCGAAAACCAAACACGAUUUAGCCGGGUGACGUGUCAAUUUUUGAUUGAUCCACGUACUCUUGUGCGCGCGUCGGCGUUUGGGACCGAGCACCCGCACCGUAGUGCCAAGUCAGAUGAAGUGUGUAGCGGGUGUUGGGAGGGUGACGUGGCGGCGCGUGGUGGGUCGUCGUAGUAUCAACCCGUAUUAGCCAAUUAGAAUAGAGGAUUGCGAAUACUGAACACGUGGGAGGUUUUUAUUGGACUUUCGUAGAGUUUGGUGUUCUGGGGAUUUGAGACAAAUAUUCCUGGUGGGUUUGGAAGAGUAUUUGUCUGAUGUGGUCAAUAGGUCGGUCAAUAAAAGACUCGGUCAAUUUGUUGAAUGGAUCCAAACUCUCCACUAUGUGGGAGAUUAUUGCUUACACCUGGUGCAUCCGUACAUGCUGUGCACCAUCCAACCUUUGGAAGUGGUUUGGAUAUGUUAUUGAAUUUGAAUUUAUGCAAUUUUAUCUUUUAUCAAAUUGAAAUAUCAGAAUAACUGACAUAGUCAUCAUUUUAUGGAUCAGGUCCCCUUAAUUACCUUUUUAUUUUUAAAAAUUUGAUAGGAAUUUAAUAAAAAAAAUACUGUACAUAUACUUAUUUUGGAUGGGGUGUACGAUUUACACCUAUUUUGAACUGUAUGAAUUGCAUUGUUUUUUAUAAUAACAUUAGGGAAACAAACAUUAUUGUGACUAGUAAAAAAUUUUCAUCAUUAGAAUAAAUAGGAGGUAUGAUUUAUAAUUAUUUGGGGAAGUAGUAUUCCUCUUGAUAAAAACAUAAGAGAAAUAAAAAUAUGUGGAUCCAUUUGUCCAUUAAUAAUAAAAUAUUUGUUAUCAGAAAGAUCAAUCUAAUAGAAAAUUAUUCAGAAAUAGACUGAGAAUUAGAAAAGUAUGGGUGGAUGUUCGAAUUGAACACAAAAUCUCUUAGAACGCAGGAUGCGUAAACUGACUUUGAUAUCAUAUUAUCCAAAAAUAAUUUAUGUAAUAGAAAGCACAAAAAUGUACCAAAUAUAUAGAUUGAUACAGCAGGUGCAGGCAAUAAUAUCAGUACAUUAUGAUGUACUUCAAAAAUAGGAGCCGGCACUCUUUUUUUUUUUCUUUUUUUUUUUUUUUUAACAACUUCUUUAAUUUUGUUUAAUGGAGUGACAUAUAUAGUAAUUAGAUGUGAGGCAGUUGUACUUAUUUGAAAAGUAAAAAGAAAAAAAGAAAAAGAAAAGCAUCACUAUGGCUUGACCCUGUUAAUUAUUAGACGUUUCAAAGCGAAGCUGCAAAAAGAGGGAGAAAAUAUCAUUAUAUUCUGUAUGUAUGUGGGAGUGAGUAUGGACGUAAGCAUCAAUUAAUUAAUUAUUUCAUAAGCACGUGUUUAUUAGAAGAAGAGAUUUAUUACAUUGAAUGGUUCAGCCACAGCGCUUACGAGCUUUGACUCGAUUCAAUUCAUCUGAAUAUUAGCGUUUUAUUAUUGAGUUUUUUAUCGUUAGACUUAUUAUUAAUAUAUUACUGUCCUACUGAACUUAAUAGAUUCAUCCAAUUCAACUUAUUAAUUUUCUAAAAUCUAUUGUCAUAAAAUAAAAAAUUAAAUUUAUUAUAGUCGAUAAUAAAUAACCAGUGCUAUGUACGUAAGUCUUAUAGUAACUAACUAGGUUUUAUUUGUAUUUUAGCACAAGUACCGUACGUGUCCUUCAAAACGUAUUUUGACAUGCGAGUUCCACGUGGCAAUCUACGGAGAGUGUAUGACUUCCAAUUUUUUAUUUUGGCUAAAUUGCAUUUUUCAUCCUUAAGCUUUGAUUCUUUCAUGUUGAAAAAUUUCUUUCAAAUCCUUUAUUAGUUAAUUUUUUUUAAAAAAAUAAUUUUAAAAUGAAAGUAAUUUAAUUUCUAUUUUGAAAAUUUCUAAAUAAAUAUUAACUUGUAAAUAUUAUAGAGAAGAAAAGAUGAGAUGAUGCAUGUAAGUUGAGACGUGCUAGGCACUGUCCUAAAAACGGAAUUGCUCUUUCACAUGCGAGACCUCGGCAAUAUGUAAGGAAGUAAAUUCUCGAAAUCUGAGAGUUAGACUUCGUUUAGAACCGGCUAAUUGUCGAGUUGGUAUGCUUCGGAAAGUCCGAAUGCGAUAAAAAUACAUAAAGUGUAUUGAGGAGGACCCGCGAGAGCAAGUCGUGCAAAAUCUGCACAAGUUGUAGAUUUUAUACUCUCGGGGUGUCACGCCCCAGACCGCACCACCCGAAAACGGUACCAAUUUGGUCCGAUUCGAGGGCGGCGUGCGCGACCGCCGAACGGACAGAGUCUCCCCUGUCCGCCCAAGGCUAAGCAACGGAUUGUGUACAACAAGUCUCCAGAAAAAACAACUUGCAUUCAUACACAAUCAACAACGAAGCGAAAGCACAAACAGUGCUAUAACCAACUAGAGCAAGCGAUACAAGUAAAAUCAUACAAGUAUACAAAAGAGAGAAACUUAGCUAUUUAAACCAUAAUUGAAACAUUAAACCUCUUUCGAUAUCAUUUAAACUUUAAGCAUUUAAUACAACUUGCAUUCUUUUCCCAAAAUGAAGAUACAUCAUAUGCUCUCCAAAACCUCACCCUAUACAUCAUCUACUCUCAAAGCAUAACCAAAAGUACAGGGUAGGGAGCUAAUGCAAGUAGGUAAAGUAAGCUAUCUACCAAAAGCUAGGGCGCUAUGCCCUUACCACGAUCCAUCGACGAAGGCCCGCUAAGAUGUUAAUCACCUAGAUUUGGAAUUUUAUUGGAGUAUUUCCAUGUGUUGAAACCUAGAGCUCCAAAAUGGGGUUUUGGGAAAUCUAGGAUUUUGAUCUAAAUUAGUUGAUUGUAAACCUAAUUGUUAGGUAUCUAGACGCGUUGGCGGCGAUGGUUCGACGAUUUGUCGAGUCGGUGCGGAGAAAUCGCCAAGCGGAGGGCGUUACGGCUUCGUCUCUAGUCGGAGGGCCGAAGCGGCGUCCUAGGAGGUUUCCGAGUUCCUUUCCUUGAGUCGUUGCAUCGCCAAGAGGUGAGUGGUGCCAUCCCGAAGCAGUUGAACUGCUCCCUAUGUCUAAGUCUCAUUGUUGAUCUCAUGAGCAUCUUGCCAUAUUGCAUUAUAGGGUAUUUAGUAUGUUGUUGUAUAUUCUUGCAUGCUAGUGGUAGUGUAGAGUCGCUUGCUUGACACUUGGAGCUAGUAUGCAUGAUAGCGUGACAUGAUGAUUUGGAACCCUAUAAUGAAAAGAUAAAUGGUGAAUGUGCCUUAUGUGGAUGAAAACCUAGUGAUGUAUAGGUUAGUGUAUUGUAAACACAUAAAUGAUAAUGAGUGUCAUCUAGUUAAGAUAAACACAAGAACGAGUGGCAUGAAAAUCUUAGUGUAGUUGAAACACUAGAAGGUUGAGAAUUGGGAUUACAUUGAUUCGUGAUGAUGCUAACCCUAACUGGUAGGGUAUCCUCCAUCGGCGAGGAUUGGACCGUGCUCACGUAGCUUGUACUAUACUUGUGGUGGUCGCUCCACAUAAGCCGUGCACUCCGGAGUAUUUGUUACACAAGAGGCAGCGGCUAGCUGCCCGGACAGUAGCUAGCUGUCCGCAGGCGGUCUCGGGUGAGUCAAGCAGCUUGGACUCCUCACUGAUGAGAUUUGAGACGUGAGAUGAGAGCGAACCUUCGGGUUAGCCGAGCGAUUGGGUAAACUAAUGAAUAAACUUUAUUGUUGAACAUAGUAGCAUGGUAGCUAGCCUUUCUCUAUGAGUUACAUGCAUGCAUGAUGUGGAUUGAGGUAUAGUAGGAUACUUGCAUUUCUAUUUACUAUGUCGUCGUUGCUUUUAUACAAACAUAUCUAUCUAUCUGUCUUCCUAUGCCUGCUUAGAUCUAGUGGGGAGAUCGGCGAAAUCGGCGGCAGAACCCACUCGGAACUAUGAACAAUAGUUCUCACCCCACUCUGUUGCAGGGCCGAGCUCGAGUACCCCUGGCGAGGAUCGUGGCAAGGGCUUAGCGCCCUAGGGUUGGUAGAUGCUUCCUAUUGCAUUAGUAGUCACCCUAUAUACUUGAGAGUAGAUGAUGUAUAGGUGUGAGAGAGUUUGGAAGAUUGUAAACUUUAUGUUUAUAUUUUUGGAAAGUCUAAAUAUAAUCAAUAUAUUAAAGGUUGAAUAAAUGUAAUAGUUAGUAUCUCUUUUUUAUUCACUUGUGUUUACUCGUGAUGCUUGCUCUUGGUUGUUUAGCACUGGUUGUGCUCUCGUUGUUGUUAUUGAUCGUGUAUGUAUUCAAGUUGAAUUCCUGGGAACUUGUUGUACAUGAUCUCGUUGUUUAGCCUUCGGCGGACAGGAGAGGUGCUGUCCGUCCGCCAUCUAUUCGACGCGUCCGAGCCGGACCUAGCGGGUCUCGAGGCGUGACACAAUCAUUCCUAGCGAAACAACGACCACCGUCCAUCCCGUCGACACAUUUUCAAGGUGGUGUAAUACCAGGGUGGUGCAAUACGAAUCCAACGAGCUCAAAGAUCUAUCGAAUGAGAAGAAGAAAUGUAAAGUUUAGUAUAAAGAACCAAAGGAAGAAGAAAACCUUUUUGCAAGUUUCAGGUGAAAACCUUUAUCACAUGCACCUCUCCUCUCUUCUAUAUAUAGAUAGAAAAACACAGUAGGGUCCAACAGCUCUUUUUCAGAUAAGACGUUGGCACUUAUCGAGAUGCUGGAUACAGGAUCUUACCGAGAGAGGGUAAGAUCUAGAUAAAGAGACCUUACUGAGGUAAGAUAAUUAUCAGGCCUUAAAUACGAAAUCUCCAAAAAUAAAAUAAAAGAAAAGGAUUGAAUUAACCGGGUAAGCCUGGUCCGUGCGCGCCGCCCGCUCCACCCGGCUCGUGCCAUGCGUGUGUACCUGUGUUUAGUCGCUCCUAAAAUAUUAACUUGAAAAUGAAGGAGUAUAUAGUAUGCAGCCACUAGUUUUUAGUUUUCAAUAUGAGACUAAUCCUCACAUAUAGAAAUUUAAACACGGGCUUGUAGACAAAGUGCAUAAAAAAUUGGGCUGCCUAGAAAGAUCAUAGACAGAAUUGAAGUUUUACAUCACUGAAAUUAUAUUAAUACUAACAUUUGACACUUAAUUUUCAGCCUUUAAUUUAUUACAAUUCCUGAUUUACACUAUAAAUUAUUGGAAUUAAAUCUCACAGACCAAUCUGGCUACUUAAAUAGUAACGCUUUACUGAUGUAGUAUUGAUGUAAAGCUUUAUAAUCGAUAGUAUUGUAGUCACUAAGAUGCCAAAGUAUUAUCACAUUUGCGAAAUAUCUAAAUCUAGUCAAGAUUGGACUGUAGGACUUACUAACCCAGUUUAAAAAAUUUGAGCUAGAAAUUUUAACGAAUUAACGUUCUAGUCACAAGGCUUGUUGGUUGGUACCCGAGACCCAAGUUCGAAUCCUAGUUGAUUCACAUUUCCAGCUAAGUUUAUUUAUAAAUGAAAUAAACGAAACGGGUAGCAUGCUACCUUUCUCUCUCUCUUAAAAAAAAAAACAAAAAAAAACAAAACAAAAGAAAUUUUGAUAUAGCUACACAUUUGA
rnacentral:lncRNA from 1 species